rnacentral:lncRNA from 1 species
AAAUACCACAGCAAAUACAAGGAUGUUCCCAAGGGGAAUGGAGUAGUUGAGCGAUUAAACUCACUUAAUGGUUUUGACUAUUUUUCUAAUGUUGGCUCGAUUGCUAUAGCAUUUGCUACAGCACUGGGCGGAAUCCUUAUGUAUCCUCAGCUGUCGCAUGUUGGAUAGCUUAUAUCUAAAUGCAACUUAACAGUGACCAAUUGUUAUGCUAACGUCAGAUAUAGCAUUACACAUUUUAAAUUCUAAUUACUCUACAAGAUGAAUCCCUAUAUCUAGUUCAUCACUAAUUUUAUAUUAAGCAUGACCCUUUUCAAAUCAAGUUAAACCCAACUCAGGAAACUCAAUCUAAAACCAAGUAUUGCUUUGAUAUGUUCCACUAAGACAAGUCUUUUUUAAGCUCUUUCUUAACUAGUAUCACUAAAUGGGUGGUCAACCGAAAUAGUAAAUUGAAAUAAGUAUUAUCAAAACAACGUGCUAUAGCAAAUAUGCAACAACACAGAAUAUUAGUCAAUUAACCAUCAAGUUUGUUCAUUACUCAACCACAAGUAAAUUUAGUUCAUAAUUUUUGAUAAAACAAGAAGUAAAAUAGUUUCAGCCAUCAAACAAUUCAUCAUAACGAGAUAGAAACAAGAGAACAAAAAAUAAGAGUGAGAUCCGCUUGAUGUUCUUCUCGAAUUCCUUAGUUGCAGCCCCCAAUUCUCUCUCUUGAUCUUUGUUUUUUCUUGUGUUGUUUAUCUAUUUUUCUUCUCCAAUGACGACUCCCUUUUCUUUGCGUGUGUGCUCCUUUUAUAGCUCAGAAUUAGGGCAACUGGAAGCCUAGGACGUGCAUCUUCUAAUUUAGAAAACUCCAGACUGCAAACUUCAAAGUAUCUCGCGCGAAAUCUUCUCUGUCAAUGCUCUAGAAUUGCUAUAACAACGAUGCUACAACAACAGUGCUACAACAAUGGCUUCAGCAUCUGCAUUGUUCCAGACUUGUUUCAAUUCUUCUCUAAUUAAGUUCUUUCCUUAUCUUUACAAGCCUAUUGCAACCGUAUUCCUUUCUUGAAAUUUGAGCUUUCGGUCACCUAUAAUUAUGCAUAUGAUUUAAGUACACAAUUUAUUCUGAAUCAAACAAAACUUAUUAAAAGUAAACUAAAAUGGAUGUUUAUCCAAAACAUUACUAAAAUGCAACAAAAAUAUGUCAUUUACUCUCUAAGUAAUCAUGAUUUAAGUCUCAAAGUGUCAUGAUAACUCUCAUUUCAUAGAGUUAUCAUUAUAAAUUUAAAUCAUGUGUUGAGAGAGAGAAAUUUGAAUAUAAAGGGCUUUUAGCAUAUGAUGUGCCCACUAGAUGGAAUUAUAUCUACACUAUGUUGUCCAGAGCUAUAAACUUUCAGAAAGCUUUUGAAAGUCUGGAAGAAGAGGAAUAUGAUGGACCAAAGCUUUUUUCAAUGAGAGGAAAGCAGAACAUAUCAGGCCACCCACAGCUGAAGAUUGGAAAAUGCUGCAAUAUUUAUCAAGUUUUUGAAAUUUGUGAAUAAUGUUACAAUUGAUUACAAUGCUUUAUUAUCUGUCAUGUCUAACUUGUAUUUUCAUCAUCUUUGCACCAUUCAAACCUAGUUGCAUUCAUUUAUUGAAAAAAAGGAGGUGCUUCUUAGUAAAAGGGCAGAAAAAAUGAAAAUAAAGUAUGAAAAGUAUUGGGGUUCUGUGGACACUAUAUAUCAGCUGUUUAUCAUUGUUGUGGUACUUGAUCUAAGGUAAAAAUCUGUUAUUUCAUUUGAUUUUUUAUUUUUUAUGAUAAAAUCAAUUGUGAUAAUUAUUUACUCCAAUUCAUUUCAUAUCUAAGGUACAAAUUGGAUUAUGUGUCAUUUUGCUUUGAAAAUUUGCAUAAUCCUGAGAAAGCGAAAGAAAUUACAUCAAACAUUAAGAAGCUACUUUUAAAGGUGUAUUCUUUGAAAUACUAACUAGGCAACCCAAGAGGGGGGUGAAUUGGGAUUUUAAAAAUUAAGCUAAGCAAACCACACAACAAUCUAAUCUAAUGCCUUAAUAAAUUCGAAAACAAUAAAUUCAAUGAAAGCACAAUAAUAAAUGAGCAAGGGAAGAGAAAGAAAACUCAAGGAUUUUUACGUGGUUCGGCAAUCCCCGCCUACGUCCACGCCUCCAAGCACACCGGGCUUGAGGAUUUCACUAUCCGAGUCUUUCCAAGGCUUCAAAUGUUUACAAUUGACUUCAAGGUGUCAAUGAACCUUUACAACAAAAUAUUAUCUCUCCAAUCUCUUCACCCCAAGUGUUUCUCACACUUGUACACUCACAAUUUGAUGAGAAAUGAAAAUUACAAUAAUGAAACUCUCUUUAAGAGUGGAUAUACAAAUUGAAGAACAAAGAUGAUUUAAUAAAUGAUGAUUUACGAAAUUGAAGCUCAAUAUAUGUUGUGUGCACUUGUUUUUGCUUGCCAAGAUUUCCAAAAUUGAAUUGGUUUUGAGUUUAUAUAGUUUGAACUCAAAAAACUAGCCGUUAUGCACAUUUUGGUCAUAACCGGCUUACCAUUUAGGAAUCCGGUAAGCCGCUUUUAUGUUACCGUUAAGGCAAAAAUUUGAAUUUCAAAAUAUCCGGUAAGCCGCAUUUCAUAUCCGGUAAGCCACUUUUGAAAUCCGGAUUGCCGCUUGCGAAAUCCGGAUAGCCGUUUAUGCUCCAGAAGCUUACUGCCCAAAAUCUGGAUUGCCGUUUACUAUAUCCGGUAAGGCACUUGCUACAAUGAUUGCUACAGUGAACUAUUUUUUAAAAUUACUGUUUGGCCCCAAAACUUUCCAUAAUUGUAUUAUGGCCUAAAACGUUAUGAAAAUUUGCAAAUAGGUUCAAUUUUAGAAUUUCUAAGCAAUGCUUUGUUAAUCUCAAAACUUUUUGAAAUUAUGGUAUAGCCUAAAAUGCUAUGACACUUUUCAAACAAGUCUUUCUCUAAAAUUUCAAACAAUACUUGUUGAUUUCAAAGUUUUCAAAACUCUUUCAAUUAAAUCAUAAACUUGAAAAACAACUAAUUUCAUAAAAUCAUUUUUUCAUGAAAUAUAAAACCUUUAUAGUGUAAAAAUAAUGAUUUAUUUAAAAUGUAUAAAAAAUAAUUUGAGCUUAAAAGAUUAAUCAUUCUUAAUCUUGUUUGUUAUCAUCAAAAUCAACAUUAUGAAAACAUAUAUGUUAACAUUCUUAAACUUUCAAAUUAGAUUCAGUUAUAACACUAGUUACUUUAUUUUUUUUCUGUAAAAUGUAUUCAUAUUUACUUAAAUUUAUUUUCAUAGCUAUAUAAAACCUAUUGUCUUGUAGAAUCUACUUCUGGUGAUGGUAGCCAAUCUACUAAUGAUGUUUUGGCAAUUGAUGUGGGUUUAAGAAGGAAAAGUGGCAAGGUCUAUGCAUUUAUUAAUACAAAGACUCAAUAUAAGCAGUUAAAAGUGCAGAAAGAUUCCAUUGAUUUGAAAAAUGAGGUAGAAAGGUAUUUGUUCUAACCUAGCGAGGAUGAAACUGAUGAUUGGUUUGAUGUUUUGGGUUAGUGGAUUGCAAAUAGUGCAAGGUUUGGGACUUUGUCACAAAUUGCAAAGGAUGUGUUAGCAAUUCCUGUAUCUACUGUGGCUUCUGAAUCUACUUUUAAUACUGGAGGUCGUGUAGUCUAUGCAUUUCGAAGUUCAUUAACCCCUACAAUGGUUGAGACUUUGAUAUAUAGUCAACAAUGGCUUAAAGCAUCUGGUAUGGAUGAAAAAUAUAUUAGGAAGUUUGAUGUAGAAGUAUUAGCAUCAUACUUUAGUGAUUUGGAAUUAUGUACGUCUGUGGAGCAAGGUACCUAUGUUUUACAUAUAGUAUAAUUAUAUUAUUUUCUAAGUUAAGCAAUCUAACCAAUCAUUUUGUCAUUUUAUGCAGAUUUUGACAAAUCAAAAGUAAUUGGGCCAUAAGUUUUGAUGGACAAGAUGCACGAUAUUUUGAUUGUCAAAUGUUGUUCAAGUUUAUUUUAAUUUUGUGAGUUUGUUUUGAAUGAACAGGUUGAGAACUUCUUUAUUAUGAUGUAUUCUGUUAUGAACUUGUAUGGAUGUAUCUUUGAAUUGUUAUGUAGAUAUGAAUAAUAUAAAAGAGAUAUCAAUUUAGAUUAUGGACACAAAAAAUAACAAAUAAUUUAGGUACAACAAUAUAAAAGAGGUGGGCUUUUAGCUAAUAAUCUCAAACCAAGAAAAAAACCAAUCCAGUCGGUUUGGUUUAAAAAAAUUUUCGGUCGAUAUCAGUUUAGAUCGGUUUGAUAAUUUGUCUCAAAUUGAUCCAAACCAAAUUUGCCUACCUCUCAGUUCCAUUAUCUAGAGAAAUGCAAUAUUUACAUCCAUCUGAUGUAAUUCAAGGUCUAGAUGUACAAUAAUGACCAAAAUUAAUUGUAUAGAAGCAAACCUUACCAUAGGAGAAAAGGUUUCUUUAUAGUUUAUUCCCUCCUUUUGGGUAUAGCCUUUAGCGACUAAUCUUACUUUGUAUCUCUCGAUUGUCCCAUCCACUUUACGUUUUAUAUGGAGAACCCAUUUAUUUCCGAUAGUUUUAUGAUUAGGCAGAAAUUCAAGCAAGUCCCAAACUUGAUUAACGUUCAUAGAUUCUAUCUCUUCUUCCAUUGUUUUCAUCUAUAAAUCCUUAGCAGACGAUGUGAGAGCUUUAUUAAAAGUAUUUGGCUCUUCACUAUCGUGUGAAGUAAUCAUAAAACGUCUCCCUCAAUCUCAAAAUGACGACAAGGAAUUGACUUACGACUACUCUUCUGAGUUGAUUCCCUAAUUCGAAUCGAAGUGUCCGAUGUUUCACUCCCACUCAGAGUAACAAUCCCCAGAGGAUUCGCACUAAUGCCAAUAUCAACAUUAGAAGUGAUAACCCCAUUUGGAUCUUCUAAUUCAUAAAAUUGAAAAUCCUUAUCCACUUCUUCAAUGCUAGAAAAUUCAUUUUCUAAAAAACUGACAUUUGUUGCAACUUUUUCUUGUAUUAUUAGUAUCAAUGUGCAAGUGUACACAAUAAGUAAUAUAAUGAUAAAUAUUCAAGAUCGUCUUCACAUGGAUUGAUGUUAUCAGAAUUGCUAAAACAAUCCUGAACAGUGCAACUUGUGUUCUAAAUUAAGACUAAAUAAUUAAUGAGACUAAAUAACUAAUUAAACUAUAAAAUGUAAUAACUAAAAAGGCAAUAAAUAAAAUUUUCAUGUCAAACACAAGAAUAAAGCCAAUGAGAAUAGAGUAGUUGAAGGAUUAAACUCUCUUAAUGGUUUUGACUGUUUCUUCUAAUCUUUGGCCUGGUUGCUACAACAUUUGUUACAGCACUGGGCAAAAUCAUAUUGUAUCCUCAACUGUCGCAUGUUGGAUGUCUUAUAUCCUUAUGCAACCUAAUAGUGACCAAUUGUUAUGGUAAUAUAAGAUAUAACAUUACACAUUUAGGUUCUAUUUACCCUACAAUGUGAAUUCGUAUGUCUAAUUCAUCACUAAUUUUGGAUUAGGCAUGGCCCUUUUGGAAUCAAGUAAAACUCAACUCAACUCAAGAAACCCAAUCUAAAACCAAGUAUUACUCUGAUAUGUUACAUUAAGAUAAGCCCUUUUGUAGCUCUUUCUUAGCUUGUAUCAUUAAAAUGAGUGGUCAGCCGAAAUAAUGAAUAUAAUUAAAUAUCAUCAAAAUAAAAUGCUAUAGCAAGCAUACAACAACACAUUUAUACAGUCAAUGGACCAUCAAGAUUAUUUAUCACUCAACCACAAAUAAAUUUAGUUUAUAAUUCGUAAAAGAAACAUGAACAAUAGAGUUUUGGUCAUCAAAUGCAUUCUCAUGAUUAAAGAAUAAACAAGAAAACAAGAGAAGACUAAGAAAGACUGAGUUCCCGAUUGAUUUCUGUAAAUUCUCCUCUGAUGCAGCCCUUAAUUUUGCUCUUGAAUUAUGUUUUUCUUUUAUUUCUUUUCGAUUUUUGUUCUUGGUUGACGGCCUCUCUCUUCCUUUGCAUGUGUGCUCUUUUUAUAGAUAAAAAUUAGGGCAACUGAAAGUCUAGGGUGUGUAUCUUCCAGAUUUGGAAACUCCAUAUCUCAAUCUUUUAAGUGCCUCACAUGAAAUCUUCUCUGUCAAUGCUCUAACAUUGCUACAACAAUGUCUGCAACAUCUGCAUUAUUCCAGACUUGUUUUAAUUCUUCUGCAGCCAUGUUCUUUCAUUCAUUUUGCAAGCUCAUUGCAACAACAUCUUUUCCUUGAAAUUCAAACUUCCAAUUACCCACACUUAUGUAUGUGAUUUAAGCACACGAUUAUUCAAACCCAAACAAAAUUUACUAGAAUUAAACUAAAAUGGCUGUUAAUGCAAAAUAUCAUUAAAAUGUAAUAAAAACACAUUAUUUACUCUCUAAGAAAUCUUGAUUUAAGUCUAAAAAUGCAAUGAUAACUUCAUUUCAUAAAGUUAUUAACAUCCCGUGAUUCCAGUUCAGUUAAAAAUCCACUUUCAUGUUCACCAAUGAACACAUAUUGUUUGGAGUGUUCUGAGUAUCUAAUAAAGAUACGCUUUUUACUUCUAGCUCCUAAUUUCCCAAACUUAUGAAUGGAGUUAUAAACAUAAGCUGCAGACCCCCAAGGUCACAAAUGAAAUAGGUCAGGUUUCCUAGCCGUCUAUAACUCAUAUGAGUAGAACUAACUGAUUUUGAAGGAACUAGGUUAAAUAUACAGGCAGCAGUUAACAAUGCAUCUCCCUAAUAUGAUAUUGGAAUAUUUGAGUGUGCCAUUAUUGACCUAACCAUUUCUAAAAAAGUUAUAUUCCUUCUUUCCGCCAUACCAUUUUGUUGCAGAGUUUCAAGAAUAGUCAACUGUCUAUUUAUUCAUUUCUCACUACACAGUUCCUUGAACUAUUUUGAAAGGUAUUCAUGUCAUCAGUCAGUCCUUAGAACUUUAACAUUAUUAUCUAUUUGAUUCUCUACCAUGUUUAGAUAUAAUCUAAAGCAAUCCAAUGCUUCUGAUUUAUAAGAAAUCAAGUAGACAUGACCGAAACUUGAAUAAUCAUCAAUGAAUGUUAUAAAAUAUGAGGCUCCAUGUUUAGCCCUUACAUUCAUUGUAUCACAGAUGUUAGAAUGGAUUAAUUGUAAUGAUUUUUCAACUCUAAUUCCUUUGUCAAAUGGUUUUCUAGUUGUUUUUUCAGCUAAACAAUUCUCACAUAUGGGCAAUUCAACCUUGGUAAGUAAACCCAAUAUGCCCUUUCUCGUAAGUCUAUUCAUUCUUUUUUGCCCUAUGUGACCUAAUCAAGCAUGCCAAGUAAUAACAUCUAUUUUAUUAUUACUUAAAGAAGUAGCAUAUGAAAAAUAAUUAUUAUCAUAACUUGAAUUAUCAGGUAUUGUAUCUAAUAUAAUAAAACCAUUAACGAAAUGCCAGUUCUAAUAAGGACUAAAUUUAAGAAAAUCUCCAAAAAAAAAUCAUAAAAGUUUAAAUUAUAUCCUAAUUCAAGAAGAACAAGAAUAGAAACCAAGUUUCAUCGAAUCUCUAGUGCAUAUAGGACAUCGUGUAAUAAAAGAAUACGUCCACCAUGCAAAGUCAAUUUGUAGGUGUCUAUUCCUUUUGCUUCAACCCUGGAGUUGUUGCCCACGUAUAUCCAUUUAGUCCCUUGACUAAUUUGGUGAUACUCUACAAACGCAUUUUGAUCACGAGCUAUAUAGUCUGUUGAUCCUGAGUCUACAGUCUACAUAGGACGAGAAUCAAUUAGGAGUACAUAACUCAUAACUAACACAAAAUUUAAUAAAGUGGAGUUGGGCUCAGUGCACUCGCGAGCAAAGUGAUCGGGCUCACUACAAUUAUAGUAUUUCAUCUUAGAUUUGUCAUUUUUCUUGUUAGUGCGUCUACCCCUUGGGCGCUUCUUAGCAUCUGAAUUCCUCUUAUUAGGAUCAGAUUUCUUACCCUUCUGGUUAUAAUUAUGACCCUUUUGUACUUGAAGCUUGAAGCUUUGUGCGAAUUUGAUUCGGUCAUAUAAACACGAUCAAAAAGCUUAGUUGCCUCAAGGCGCUUUACUUCUAAUUCUAGGUGAUGUUCUAUGUCAUUGAAAGUUCUAAUACUUUCAUUAUGAGUCAUAUUCACCAUCAUGUGCAGCCAAGAAUCAGGUAGAGAUCUUAUUACUUCCUGGACUUGUUGUUCAUCAGUCAAAAUAUGUCCAGCAGCCUUAAGUUCGCAAAUCAUGUUUGACCUCUCCCUCAGCUGCUGCCUCAUAAUAUGAUUUUGGCAAUUCCGAGAAGAAUCAAACUUGAUCAUAAGCCUUGCAAUUUAGUAGUCGAAGUGCCACUGAACUUAUCUUUUAGAGCGAGCCACAUCUGUUGAGCAGUCUCUUAUAGCCUCUUCUACUAUAGUAGCGGAGUUCAUAGCAUGUAACGAGACAUCCAAUCACAGAAUAUGGCUAAGGAAUUACGUCACAGAGUUACACAUUUUAGAUGUUAUUGAUAGACCACUUAAGUUAUUAUGUGACAAUAAGUUAGCAGUGCUAUAUUCCAAUAACAAUAGGAGCUCGACGAAGUCACAGUAUAUAAACAUCAAGUUCCUAGUUGUUAAAUAAAGAAUUCAGAGUGGAAAAUUGUCUAUAAAGCAUAAUGGUACAAAAUUCAUGAUCACGGAUUCGCUUACUAAGGGAAUACCAUCUAAAAUUUUUCAUAAGUACACCGUUCAUAUAAGUGUCGUGUCAUUAAAGGAUAUUCAUUUUUAAUGGGAUUUUGUAAAUUUCAAAUGUUCUUAUGAUAUAAACAUUUUUCGGUUUAGGGAUAUUUAAGGUUAUUUUCUGCAGAAAUAAAGUUUUGGUUUAUUCAUUCACACUAAUUUUUAUAUGAUUUGAUCUCACUAAAGUUUAAGGCGGAUCAAUUGGAAAUAGGCAUGUUAAGAUCACAUUACAUGAAAUUUCCAUCCUACACGCCCAUAUCAUGAUCUAUGUCAUUCAGUUAUAUUGGCAUAGUGAGCAUUGAUGGGUCAAGUUACGAUAGUUGUAACAAAGGUCGUUUUGAUCCUUUGUUGAUAUGAUUGAUGGACCGAAUUGACUAUAGAUACAGUUUAGUAAUGACAGUAAAGUUGAGCUCAUAUGGUUAUUUUUGCAAAGUAUAAUUAUAAGGUUACAUAUAUAGCCCAAGUGAAAGGUUGUUGGAUCUUUAAUCUAGCAUUGUUAGAUCCUUGAUCCAAUGUUGGGUUUAUAUGUGAAUAAUUAUAUGUUGUGAACUAUUAUAUAAGAUUAAGACAAAUUAAAAAUGAUCUAUUAAGGUUUUCGAUAAUUUGGGCUUUAAUGUAUCUAAUCAAUUGUGGGCCUUUAAUGUACAGAGACUUAAGACUAAUUUCUAUUUCCAUGAUGGGUUGGAAUAAGAAUACAUAAAGACAAAAGAAAAAUUUGUUUAUAUAAAUAGUUAUUGUCCGUAGGUCACACGUAUCGUUCUAUUCUCUGUUGACAUCUUAUCAUUAGAGAGAGUGCACAGAGAAGUUUAAAGGAUUCUCUAGGAGAAUCUGUUAAUUUGGAAGACAAACUACUAGACUCUAGAGACAAAUUGUGCAUUAUACUAGUCUUGAACAUGUUCAAUUCUCAAGGCAUCCAGAGGAGAUUUGCCCCUAAGCUUGCGAGCACACAAGUUCCUGAAGUAUUCUUCAACUGUCACUCUUUUAAACAAUAGAGGAUUAUUUUCAGAGACCAAAUUGGACGUAGGGUACAUUUCACCAUCAUAUAUCACUAAGUAAACUGUGCCAAUGGAAAGUCUUCCUUGUAUAGAGUUUACAAUUACACGAUGCUCAAUGCUACGGUAUGUCCCAUUGGUUACAAUCUGCCAUGUAAAAAUUAUUAAAGCACAUGAGCAGGCUCAUAUAAAUGCCAAGUUAAGUAUUUUACUAUAAUUAUUACCUCCAGUGUGUCUCCAAUGUCGACAAUGAAAGCAUUAGGGAGUGGAGCAACAGGAAUUAAUGAAAGCACACAUUAGCUAGCUCAUAUGAAUGUCAAGUUAAAAUAACUUAUCAUAAUAAUUACCUCCAACACGACUCCAAUGUUGACAACGAAAGCAUUUGGAAAAGGUGUAACAGGAAUCCACUUUCCAUCCUUCUUGAUCUGGAGACCUUCUACUUCAUUGAUUUCCAGCAGAAUGGUAAGAACAGAGUCAUCUGAAUGAGUUGUGAGGCCCACAACCUUCUCCGGCUGAGGACAUGGAGGGUAAUAGUUCAUCCCCAUUGAUUGGAAACCAUUUUCAAAGUAUUCUCUCAAUUCUUCAUCUUUGAUAUUUAGAACUUUUCCCAUUUUCAAUACCAGGUUCAUGGCCAGAGAUUUUUAACUCCACUGAAUAAAUUCCAAGAUUUCCUACAAGAAAAAAGAAGAUGCAAUUAAAAGGUUUAGUACAUGAUUGUGGUGGAUUGUUAAACAAGUUAUUAUUUAACAGUAUUCUUUCAUGUUUGGUUGUCAAAUUUUACUAAAUAUAACUGACUUGGGAUCUUUCUCUGAACAUAAUACAUUUGCAAUCAUCAAAUAACUGACUAGAGAGAGAAAAAGAGAAACCUGAGGGGUAAAGAGGGAGCUUAGGAAACAAGUGGGGUUUCCUCAGAUGAAUUGGAAGAGUUGUCAUGAAGAAAAUGUCAAUCCAAUCAACCUUUUGUUCCUCGGAUAUAACACAUGCUUGUCCAAAUCCUUCCAUAUUUGUUAGAUUUCAAUAAACUAAUAGAAUCACAUUUGCAUUAUACUCCAUCAUAAAUUUGCUUAUAGUUCUUCUCAAGCUAUCGUAAGCCUAGACAUCUGAAAGAUAUUAAAGACAAUUUAAUUUUCAAGAAUGCAGGUUUGUCUUCUCAGCUAUACAAGAAAGCAAGUUAGAUGGUCCAUAAUCGGACAAGGUCAGUUACAUCCCUCAAUUUUCAAAAAAAAAAAAAAAAAGGAGUGCUUAAACCGGCUUGGUUAAGACUAUCUAGACUCAAAUUUUGUUACAGCUUUCUUAUUGCUAACUUACAGAGUAAGAAAGCAUUGAUACAGAGUAGGCCAAAUUUGUGGCCUACUUGACCUAUAAGAAUGAAACACAAUCUAAUCUGAAUUUGAUCGACUGUACUUUUUGAUUGAGAGUAUAUAGAUUUCUUAAUUCUUGACGCCAGACUACUAUUAAUAAACCAAGCAUGUCCAAAUGAAAAAAUACAAACUUGGGUGCCUCACGACAGGUGUAGCUUAGCUGGUUGUGAAUGUAAUUCGCAAUUUGCAGAUAUCUGCGCUCGAGUAACAAUAUGGGACAAACGGUGGUAUUUACUAGAUGAGGUCUCAUCCCAAGCAAAUCCUUUAAAAGCAAAAUAAUAAUAACUUGGCAAAGGAGUUUACCUAGAAAGAAGCCCAUUCUUUGCAAGCGAAGUGGAGCCUGGACAACUCAGAAUCCAUUGACUCUUCAGAAAACAAGCUCUGCAAUACCCGUGAAUCCAAAUUAUUAUCAGAAAUUGUGGUUAAAUCUUGGCCUGGUCGUAUGUAUCUGGGAGGGAUAGCUAACAUAGGGUUCUUGGCCAACUCUUGAACACAAGGCACAGGCAGAGAACCUCCGAACUUGGCCUUCUUUUUGUUCCACAAAUUCUCUCAACAAUAAUGCUCCAGAGUUUUAUUGACAAAGCAAAUGUUGAAAAUGUAUUAUUUUCAACAAGUCAUUAUUUGCUGUGGCCUUGUGUGAGACUAAUCCACCAUUGCGGGUCUAGGGUUGGCCCAUAGAUAUUUUGUGAAUAUGACAGUUGCAGUCUGCUGUUGUGUUGCUGUCUGCUGCGAAUUAUAAAAAAGAUAGUGCAUUGCCUUCACAAACUCUUAAGAAUUUGGAUACCAUGCUAAUUUCUUUUACAUGGUCUGAUGACAACCAAUCAAAAUCUUGUAUUUUUCUCAGCAUAAUAGCUGAUCAUCAACCGUAGUUCCAAGUUCAACUUUGAGAGAGACGAUCUGAAUAUGAAAUCCAAAGUUAUAGCUUUGCAGCUUGUGUAACUAACAUCUAUUUUCAGCUAUUGAUGGCAAAAUUUUUCGUUAGUGGUAACAAGUUAUGUAUUCGUCACAAUGUGUGUUAUGGAAUGGAAUAUUUAAGACGUGGAAGGACAACAUUGUUGUUAAAAAUCAAAAACUUGUUACUAUUAACUGAAAACUAUAACGGCUGAUACAGAAACUACACUGGUUCUGUGGUAAUAUUAUCUGUAUGUAUCAUAAAAAUUUGGAAACCAAGUCAUAUAGUCCUUGAAAUCUCAUUAAAAACAAGUCAGGUAUGCAAAAAUUCUAUUUCAAAAAAGAAAGAUACUGAUCUGAUAUAAGCACCACCAUAUAUCAUCGGAAGAUUCCAGGCAUAAGUCUGCAAUUCUUAAGAUUCUUACAUGGUCUAUUCAGUAUCUCAAAUGAUAGAGCUACACAACGAUCCCAGCAUAGCAGGUUAUACCACAGUAUUCAUAGAACUUAUUUCUUAUUUUCAGUUCCACACACAAUCUCAAUAGCAAGGUCCUUCAGAGUUUUUGUACCAAACUCUUUAGUUAUCCGAAAUAAACUUAUACUAGCCUUGACCAUGUUGAAUUCUCAGGGAAUCCAGCUGAGAUUUUCCCCUAAGCUCACGAGCAUACCGGCUCCUAAAGUAUUCUUCAAUUCUCACUCUUCUAAACAAAGGAGGAGUUUUUUCAGAGAUCAAACUGGAGGCAGGAUAUACUUCACCAUCAUAUCUCACUGAGUAAACUGUGGCAACGGAAAGUCUUUCCUGUACAGAGUUUACAACUGCACGAUGCUCAAUGCUACGGUAUGUCCCAUUGGUUAUAAUCUGCCAUGUAAAAAUUAGUAAAGCACAUAAGCAAGCGCAUAAAAAUGCCAGGUUAAGGUAAUUUAUUAUAAUUAUUACCUCCAAUGUGUCUCCAAUGUUGACAAUGAAAGCAUCCGGGAGUGGGGUAACAGGAAUCCACUUUCCAUCCUUCUUUACCUGGAGACCCUCCACUUCAUUAAGUUGUAGCAGAAUGGUAAGUGCAGCCGCAUCAGAAUGCGGCGACAGGCCCAUAACCUUCUCGGGCUGAGGACAUGGAGGGUAAUAAUUCAUCCUCAUUCCUUGCAGUCCAUUUUCAAAGAAUUCUCUCAUUUCUUCAUCUUUGAUAUUUAACACUUCUCCCAUUUUCGAUAUUAGGUUCUCGGCUAGGGUUUUUAAUUCCAUUGAGUAAACUUCCAAGGUCUCUCUACAGGAAAAGAAGAUGCACCAUCCUUUAUUUGUUUGCAAAUCAAAAUGACAUUGACAUAGAGAGAGAGAGAGAGAGAGAGAGAGAGAGAGAACCUGAGGGAAGGAGGGAGCUUAGGAAAUAAAUGUGGUUUCCUCAGAUGAACUGGAAGAGUCAUCAUGGAGAAAAGGUCAGCCCAAUCAAGCUUUUGUUCCUCAGAUACAACAAAGGCUUGUCCAAAUCCUUCCAUAUCUCCUGGACGCUGCCAAUAUUUUUUCUUUUCUUCCAUGCUGAGAUUGAAGAAUCCCUCAACCUCUUUCUUUAAUUUCUCUAGAAAUGCUGUGCUCAUUCCAUGAUUUACCAGCUGAAAAAAAUACAGGAACGAAAUGUGGCAAAGAUUUAAUAAUCGUGCCACUAAGCUCACAAUAGUCCAGGUGUUUUAUUAAGACAGAUUGCAACUUAUCUGACUGAUUUAGAGAUAAGAUUUACAAUCAAAGAUGGCUAAAAGCAUUUGUUACAUUUAAAUCUUCUCAACAAUUAGUUUCCACAGGUGUUUUCUAUUCAUUCUAUCGGAGAAAUUUCGGUUAUUCUAGAAUAACUAUAAUGAGCAUAAAGUUCUUGUGGUUUGUUCACACCUAGAAUUUGAAAAAUCAUACAACAGCAAAUAAUCUCAAUGUUACUUCUAAUUGUCUUUAAAUUAAAGUAAAUUUGCAACAUUGACUACAGAAAUGAGUACAUUUUCUAAGAGGUCUUACACAAUUUACGAUAGUAUAUCUUUUAAAAUUUUGACAGAAGCAUAUUUCUCAUAAGGUACCAAAAGCUAUUGAGGCAGAGGAGGUGAAAUUUCUCAAGACCGUCUUUUUAAUACAUAUUGCGUGUUUGACAUUUAGGAAUGAAAUAGCUAAUUAACCCAUGUCUGGAGGGGGAAAGGUAAAGCAGUAUAGAAAGUCAAUAAUAAAUAAACCAGAGACAAGUUUUUCUUUUCACAAGCUGCAGUCCUAAGCCACAGACAACACCGGAAAGUGAAACCAUGAUCUGCUAACAUCAAUGAUACGUGGGUUUAAGAAAUAAAUAUGAAUUUUAAUUUUGCCUAUUUGAUUGAGAAUUUGCAUAUUUCUCGAUUCUUGAUCACAAACAAGCAUGUUCUGGCGAAACAAUUUUCUAACUUUGCUAAAGCAUUAUACCUGGAAAAAACCCCAUUCUUUGCAUACGAAGUCGAGCUUGGCUAACUCAGAAUCCAUUGAUUCUUCAGAAUGUAAGCUUUGCAUGUCAAUAACUGGUAUCUGUGAAAUCAAAGUAUCAUCAGAAAUGAGGGGUGAAUCUUGAUCUGGACGUAUGUAUCUGUCGGGGACAACUAACGCCGGAUUCUUGACCAACUCUUGAACACAAGGCACAAGGAGAGAACUUCCAAUCUGGGCCAUCUUUUGUUCCUCAAAUCCUUUCAAGAUUGCUGCAGCUUUGUAUUGAAUUUGGAACAAGACUGAGUGCCGACAAUCACAAAAGUAAAAAAGAAUCUUUUUCCAAGAAAUUAAUCAGCAUCCUCCACCUAACCAUUCAUGAAGUAUUUUUAAUUUUUUGCACAUGUUUAGAAUGCAUAAUAAAAUAUUCGCAGGUCAAAACUAUCCUCUAUUGAUAAGGAUAACAAAUCAUCAGCCAAUUAAUUAUUUGUGGUGCCCACCUUGUCAUCAACCCAAAAGGUGAAGGUAUUUUCAAUACUGCGUUUUGUUGUCUUUUUCCCUUUUUUUUUUUUUUUGCACAACUUGGUAUUGGUCUCGGAGCAUUGCAACAGUUUAAAAUGUAUUAUUUUGAGCUUGUCAGCAUUUGCUCUUGACUUGUGAGAGUAAUCCACCAUUGCGUGUCUGCAGUUAAAAGGACUUUGGUGGUUCUCGAGUAUUACUUUUUAUCUAUUCAAAUCUUGAUAUAUGGGUGAACAUAUUAUCAUAAUUGAUUAAAACAUAUAUAUGAUUACCUAAAUUUUUUUCUAACACGCUGCAAUCUGGUGCUGUGUUGGAAUUGACUGUGCACUAUUAAGAAAAUAGUGGAUUCGAAUUGUAAUCGAUUAGUCAUUUAUGCAAUUAUAGCUGUUUAUAUUUAGGCAUUAAUUAUCUUUAUAUUUUUUUCUGAUAACAACCAAUUAAAACCUCAUAUUUUGCUUGUGAAUCCAAGUUCCACUUAUGAAAGUAACAUCUGUCUCAUUUUUAGUUAUUGAUAAUUAUUAUUACUAUUAUUAUUAUUUAUUAUUAUUAUUAUUGGUAACAAGUUACAACUUAUGUACUCAUGCAAUGUGUGCUAUGGAGAACAAUGUUGCUACAAGCAAUACAAAAUUUGUUACAAUUUAUUGCCUUGAAUAUUUUCGGUAAAAACUACUUAUUUUAACUACAUUCAUGCUACUGGGGAAGGUUGUAAAACACAUUAUCACAACAAUCUGCUUAAUGUGACGGUUUUUGCAACCGGUUUACAGUUGGUCCAUCUUUACAGUUGCAAAAAAAAAAAACUGGGAGCAACCGGUUGCCCCUUGAAUAAAUUAAAUAAUAAUAUUUAAUUAAAAAAAUAAAAUAUUCAUUAUUUUAAUAUUAAAGAACAAGACAAAAAAAAUAAUAUUUAUAAUAAUAAAAAAAAAGUUUUAAGUUUAAUGGUAUAAAUAUCAAGUUAAUAGUUCUGAUUUCAUGUUUAUUGGUCCAUUAAUUUCAUUAUUUUCAUGGUUGCGAGUUAAUGAUCUCACGUUUCAUGUUUAUUGCCCUAAGUUUCAAUUUCCUUCAGUUUCACGUUUAAUGGUCAAGGUAUUAACUUAAUGGUCACAGCUUCAUGUUCAUUGGUCCAUUAAUUUAACAAUUUUCAUGGUUACAAGUUAAUAAUAACAUAUUGCAUAUUUAUUGUCCUAUGUUUCAUGUUCCUUCAGUUUCCUUCAGUUUCACGUUUAAUGUUCCUUCAGUUAAUGGUCUUGAUUUCAUGUUUAUUGGUCCAUUAAUUUCAUUAUUUUCAUGGUUGCGAGUUAAUGAUCUCACGUUUCAUGUUUAUUGCCUUAAGUUUCAAUUUCCUUCAGUUUCACGUUUAAUGGUCAAGGUAUCAACUUAAUGGUCACGAUUUCAUGUUCAUUGGUCCAUUAAUUUAAUGAUUUUCAUGAUUGCAAGUUAAUGAUAACAUAUUGCAUGUUUAUUGCCCUCUGUUUCAUGUUCCUUUGGUAACAUGUUUAAUGGUUCGGGUAUCAAGUUAAUGGUUAUGCUUUCAUGUUUAUUGAUCCAUUAAUUAAAUAAUUUUAAUGGUUGCAAGUUAAUGAUCUCAUAUUUCAGGUUUAUUGCCUUAAGUUUCAAGUUCACUGGUUUCAAGUUUAUUGGUUUUGGUAUCACGUUAAUGGUCAUGAUUUCAUGUUUAUUGGUCCAUUAAUUAUAUAAUUUUUCAGGUUGCAAGUUAAUGAUUCGAUAUUUCAUGUUCAUUGCCCUAAGUUUCAAGUUCAUUAAUUAAAUAAUUUUAAUGGUUGCAAGUUAAUGAUCUCAUAUUUCAGGUUUAUUGCCCUAAGUUUCAAGUUCACUGGUUUCAAGUUUAUUGGUUUUGGUAUCACGUUAAUGAUCAUGAUUUCAUGUUUAUUGGUCCAUUAAUUAUAUAAUUUUUUAUGUUGCAAGUUAAUGAUUCGAUAUUUCAUGUUCAUUGCCCUAAGUUUCAAGUUCAUUGCCCUAACAUUCAAGUUCAUUAAUUUAAACAGUUUUAAGAUUGCAAGUUAAUGAUCUCAUAUUUUAGGUUUACUGCCUUAAGUUUCAAGUUUACUGGUUUCAAGUUUCACGUUAAUGGUCAUGAUUUCAUGUUCAUUGGUCCAUUAAUUAUAUAAUUUUUUAGGUUGCAAGUUAAUGAUCAUAUGUUUCAUGUUUAUUGCCCUAAGUUUCAAGUUCAUUAAUUUAAUAUUUUAAUGGUUGCAAGUUAAUGAUCUCAUAUUUCAGGUUUAUUGCCCUAAGUUUCAAGUUCACUGGUUUCAAGUUUAUUGGUUUAGAUAUCACGUUAAUGGUCAUGAUUUCAUGUUCAUUGGUCCAUUAAUUAUAUAAUUUUUUAGGUUGCAAGUUAAUGAUUACAUGUUUCAUGUUCAUUACCCUAAGUUUCAAGUUCAUUAAUUUAAUCAUUUUAAUGGUUGCAAGUUAAUGAUCUCAUAUUUCAAGUUUAUUGCCUUAAGUUUCAAGUUCACUGGUUUCAAGUUUAUUGGUUUUGGUAUCACGUUAAUGGUCAUGAUUUCAUGUUUAUUGGUCCAUUAAUUAUAUAAUUUUUCAGGUUGCAAGUUAAUGAUUCGAUAUUUCAUGUUCAUUGCCCUAAGUUUCAAGUUCAUUAAUUAAAUAAUUUUAAUGGUUGCAAGUUAAUGAUCUCAUAUUUCAGGUUUAUUGCCCUAAGUUUCAAGUUCACUGGUUUCAAGUUUAUUGGUUUUGGUAUCACGUUAAUGAUCAUGAUUUCAUGUUUAUUGGUCCAUUAAUUAUAUAAUUUUUUAUGUUGCAAGUUAAUGAUUCGAUAUUUCAUGUUCAUUGCCCUAAGUUUCAAGUUCAUUGCCCUAAGUUUCAAGUUCAUUAAUUUAAUCAUUUUUAUGAUUGCAAGUUAAUGAUCUCAUAUUUUAGGUUUAUUGCCUUAAGUUUCAAGUUUACUGGUUUCAAGUUUCACGUUAAUGGUCAUGAUUUCAUGUUCAUUGGUCCAUUAAUUAUAUAAUUUUUUAGGUUGCAAGUUAAUGAUCAUAUGUUUCAUGUUUAUUGCCCUAAGUUUCAAGUUCAUUAAUUUAAUAUUUUAAUGGUUGCAAGUUAAUGAUCUCAUAUUUCAGGUUUGUUGCCCUAAGUUUCAAGUUCACUGGUUUCAAGUUUAUUGGUUUAGAUAUCACGUUAAUGGUCAUGAUUUCAUGUUCAUUGGUCCAUUAAUUAUAUAAUUUUUUAGGUUGCAAGUUAAUGAUUACAUGUUUCAUGUUCAUUACCCUAAGUUUCAAGUUCAUUAAUUUAAUCAUUUUUAUGGUUGCAUGUUAAUGAUCUCAUAUUUCAGGUUUAUUGCCUUAAGUUUCAAGUUCACUGGUUUCAAGUUUAUUGGUUUAGAUAUCACGUUAAUGGUCAUGAUUUCAUGUUCAUUGGUCCAUUAAUUAUAUAAUUUUUUAGGUUGCAAGUUAAUGAUCAUAUGUUUCAUGUUCAUUACCCUAAGUUUCAAGUUCAUUAAUUUAAUAAUUUUAAUGGUUGCAAGUUAAUGAUCUCAUAUUUCAGGUUUAUUGCCCUAAGUUUCAAGUUCACUGGUUUCAAGUUUAUUGGUUUUGGUAUCACGUUAAUGAUCAUGAUUUCAUGUUUAUUGGUCCAUUAAUUAUAUAAUUUUUUAUGUUGCAAGUUAAUGAUUCGAUAUUUCAUGUUCAUUGCCCUAAGUUUCAAGUUCAUUGCCCUAAGUUUCAAGUUCAUUAAUUUAAUCAUUUUUAUGAUUGCAAGUUAAUGAUCUCAUAUUUUAGGUUUAUUGCCUUAAGUUUCAAGUUUACUGGUUUCAAGUUUCACGUUAAUGGUCAUGAUUUCAUGUUCAUUGGUCCAUUAAUUAUAUAAUUUUUUAGGUUGCAAGUUAAUGAUCAUAUGUUUCAUGUUCAUUACCCUAAGUUUCAAGUUCAUUAAUUUAAUAAUUUUAAUGGUUGCAAGUUAAUGAUCUCAUAUUUCAGGUUUAUUGCCCUAAGUUUCAAGUUCACUGGUUUCAAGUUUAUUGCUUUUGGUAUCACGUUAAUGAUCAUGAUUUCAUGUUUAUUGGUCCAUUAAUUAUAUAAUUUUUUAUGUUGCAAGUUAAUGAUUCGAUAUUUCAUGUUCAUUGCCCUAAGUUUCAAGUUCAUUGCCCUAAGUUUCAAGUUCAUUAAUUUAAUCAUUUUUAUGGUUGCAAGUUAAUGAUCUCAUAUUUUAGGUUUAUUGCCUUAAGUUUCAAGUUUACUGGUUUCAAGUUUAUUGGUUUAAAUAUCACGUUAAUGGUCAUGAUUUCAUGUUCAUUGGUCCAUUAAUUAUAUAAUUUUUUAGGUUGCAAGUUAAUGAUCAUAUGUUUCAUGUUUAUUGCCCUAAGUUUCAAGUUCAUUAAUUUAAUAUUUUAAUGGUUGCAAGUUAAUGAUCUCAUAUUUCAGGUUUGUUGCCCUAAGUUUCAAGUUCACUGGUUUCAAGUUUAUUGGUUUAGAUAUCACGUUAAUGGUCAUGAUUUCAUGUUCAUUGGUCCAUUAAUUAUAUAAUUUUUUAGGUUGCAAGUUAAUGAUUACAUGUUUCAUGUUCAUUACCCUAAGUUUCAAGUUCAUUAAUUUAAUCAUUUUUAUGGUUGCAUGUUAAUGAUCUCAUAUUUCAGGUUUAUUGCCUUAAGUUUCAAGUUCACUGGUUUCAAGUUUAUUGGUUUAGAUAUCACGUUAAUGGUCAUGAUUUCAUGUUCAUUGGUCCAUUAAUUAUAUAAUUUUUUAGGUUGCAAGUUAAUGAUCAUAUGUUUCAUGUUCAUUACCCUAAGUUUCAAGUUCAUUAAUUUAAUAAUUUUAAUGGUUGCAAGUUAAUGAUCUCAUAUUUCAGGUUUAUUGUCUUAAGUUUCAAGUUCACUGGUUUCAAGUUUAUUAGUUUAAAUAUCACGUUAAUGGUCAUGAUUUCAUGUUCAUUGGUCCAUUAAUUAGAUAAGUUUUUAGGUUGCAAGUUAAUGAUCAUAUGUUUCAUGUUUAUUGCCCUAAGUUUCAAGUUCAUUAAUUUAAUAAUUUUUAUGGUUGCAAGUUAAUGAUAUCAUAUUUUAGGUCAAUUGCCUUAAGUUUCAAGUUCACUGGUUUCAAGUUCAUUGGUUUAGAUAUCACGUUAAUGGUCAUGAUUUCAUGUUUAUUCGUCCAUUAAUUAUGUAAUUUUUUAGGUUGCAAGUUAAUGAUCACAUGUUUCAUGUUGAUUGCCAUAAGUUUUAAGUUCAUUAAUUUAAUAAUUUUUAUAGUUGCAAGUUAAUGAUCUCAUAUUUCAGGUCUAUUGCCUUAAGUUUCAAGUUCACUAGUUUCACGUUUAUUGGUUUAUGUAUCACGUUAAUGGUCAUGAUUUCAUGUUUAUUAGUCCAUUAAUUAUAUAAUUUUUUAGGUUGCAAGUUAAUGAUCACAUGUUUUAUGUUCAUUGCCCUAAGUUUCAGGUUCCUUCUGUUUCAAGUUUAAUGGUCCCGGUAUCAAGUUAAUGGUGCUGAUCUCAUGUUUAUUGGUCCAAUAACUGUAUGAUUUCCAUAGUGCAAGUUAAUGAUCGCAUGUUCGAAGUUAAUGAUUUAAUGUUCAUUUAGUUUCCUUUGCUUCCGCUGAAUAACAAAUAUUGUGUUUUAGGUUAAGAUAAACUGAUUAAAUAGCAUGCAAAAUGGUUUGAAAUCAAUGUGCGUAAUUAAUUAUGCCAGCUGUUGCAGCUACUAAUGGCCCUACUGAUAAUGCUUAUUUUGGGGAUUUCAGUUGCUGCUGCUGUUGGCAUAAGCAGCCAGCAACUGCAGUUGCAGCUGAACCAGCCACAGCAGCAGCCACCAGCAAUAGCAGCAGCCACUAGCUGCAGAACCAGCAACAGCAGUAGCCACCAGUUGGUACUUAUGCAGGCACCAGCUACUACAAAAGCAGCGAGCAGCUGUUGUUGCUUAUGCAGCAGCAACAAUAACAACACCAGUAGGAAUGCUAUUGCUUGUAGCUGCUAGCAGCUGCUGCUUAUGCAGCAACAGGUGCCUGCAGAACCAGCAACAGCAGCAACUACCAAUUGCUGCUUUUGCAGGCACCAGCUGCAGUAACAACACCAGCAGCAGCUGCUUCUGCAUCUAGCUGCCAGCAGCUGCUUCUGCAUCUAGCUGCCAGCAGCUGCUGCUGCAACAGGCAGCUGCAGAACCAGCAACAGCAGCAGCUGGUACCUGUUGUUUUUGCAAGCACCAGCUACUGUUGCUGCAUAAGCAGUAGCUGCUGCAUCUAGGGAUGGCAAUGGGCACCGCCCGCAGCGGGUUUGCCAUUACCAAACCCAAACCCGCACAAAAUUUAAAUUACCAAACCCACCCGCAACCCGCAGCGGGUUUUAAAUUUUUUUAAAAAACCCACCCGCAGCGGGUUUUAACAAUUACCAAACCCGCAAUGGUAUCCGACGGAUUUUUUGCGGGUUUCCGUAUUUAAAAUCACAAAUAUUUAAUAUAUAAAUUUAUAAUAAUAACCUCAAGUUCCAUAUAACAUAUUCAAUUUUAUAUUUAAACAGUGUAAAUGAAAAAUUAAAAUUUCCACAUCAAUUCAACACAAAUUCUCAAAUUUAAGUAUAAAUUAUACAAAUCUAUUUAAAAAACACAAACUAAUAUCUAAAAAUAAUAAUUACAUUUCAUAUUAUCAUUUAAAACAAGAUCAAAGAGAAUAUAUUUAUUUUAUUCACCACCAUAAGCACCCAUCUAACACAAUGCCUAAAAUAAUAAUUAAGAUUAAUAUUUUCAAAUACUAAUUCGAAGGGAAAUGCCUUUAGUUUUCUUUAGGUUAUGACUUUAGAAUAAGAGAUGAGCCAUAUACACACAUACACAACUUUGAGCCUUUUGCUAUUUGGUAAUUUGAUUAAUUACAUUAUUUUCUUUAUAUAUUUUUAUAUUUAAAUUAAAUUAAAAAUAUUUGAAAAAAAUUAUUGCGGGUUUGGUGGAUAUCCAUGCGGGUAUCCACCGGGUAUAAGGUUAAUACCAAACCCACCCGCAUCCAUAUGCGGGUUUUAAUUUAUAAUACUAAACCCACCCGCAACGGAUAAAAUUACCCGCAACGGGCGGGUUUUGGCGGGUGGGUUUGGGCGGGUUUGCGGGUUUGCGGGUACAAUUGCCAUCCCUAGCUGCAUCCAGCUGCUGCUUAUUCAGCAACAACAGAAGCUACCAACUGUUGCUUUUGCAGGCACCAGCUGUUGCUGCAUAAGCAGCAACUGCAGAAACAACACCAGCAGCAGCUCCUGCUGCAUUUAGUUGCCAGCAGCUGCUGCUGCAUCCAGUUGCCUAUUGCUGCUGCUUAUGCAGCAGUAGGCAAUUGUAUAACCAGCAACAGCUGCAGCUGGUAGCUAUUGCUAUAAUAAGCAGCGGCCAUGGUGGCAUAUAAAACAAAUUUUCGAACAUGUAAAAUAUACUUCCGAACAUGUAAAACAACCAUCCAAACAUAUAAAACAAAUUUCUGAACAUAUAAAAGAAACUUCCGAACUUGUCAAAUAAAAUUUCCGAACAUAUAAAACAACCAUCCGAACAUAUAAAACAAUCAUCCAAACUUAAAACUAACAUCUAAACAUACAUAAUGGCAUAAAGAAAUGAAAACUACUGAGGCGGCGGGGAUGGUGGUGUUGGAGGUGGAAACGGAUAAGGAAUGCCAAAGUGCUCGAACAGGAGGCGUUGUCCGUGAAGGAGCUGCUGAUGCUGCUCUGACAAACGCCAGUGCUCCUCCAGAACGUGAUGCUGAAAGCUAGUCUGCUGUACAGAAAGUGUCCUCACCUCGUCCAUAAGUUGUUGAAGAGUAACUUCGCCGAAGUCAUGUGACUCUGCAGGUGGUACGACAGAUGCAGAAGCAUCAUGAUCAGGUUCACAGGUAGGAGGGUCCUCACGUCUACGCUAACCCCGGAAAGGAAGUGAAAAAUCAGGCAGCUGAUCAGUAGGAACUACAAAAUUCAAAGGACGAUCAUCACUCGGAGCAAGCAUUGUGUACUUAGCUUCAGUAUACUUCACCCAUGCUCCAUUACGCCACUCAAAUCCUAAGGCAUACACGGCCUCAUCUCCUAUACUCCUACAGGGUUUACAAGACGGUUCGUUUACGGGCACCCUAAAGUAUUUAAGGAUUUGCGUGAUGAAAUUUCCAUAUGGAAGAGUACGACUGAUUAAGUUAGGUAUGGAAAGCAUGGUGCGUAUAAUAGUUUAUCCGAGGCUAACCGACCGAUGCCUGAGGAUAGAAUCAAUCAAAGCAACAUCCAUGUGGGUAACAUCAUCUAAGUGGCCCGACCUAGGAAGGACAAUAUUCUAAAUUAUACGAUGUAAAAUACGUGAUUGAAGGCAUAGACAUUGAGCACAGAAAUGGAUUGUACAGACCUCAUCAGAAAGAUCAAUGAGCCUACAAAUGUUUCUAACGGCAUCAACAUGAACAAAGUUAUCAAUCGUAGGAACUUUCCUAGCAGAAUAUAUUUCUAACCCAUCUUCGGAGGUUCCUAGGAUAGAAUUCAAUUCAGUAUCAUCAAAUUCAAUCAAAACUCCUCUAACGUUGGUGAUUACUCGAUUCUCUUUCUCCACGGAAGUAUCCAUAUUCGAGUAAAAUACUUUCACCAAGUCAGGAUACACAUUCUCAUUAAUCGUAAGCGCAUUAAUCCAACUAACUUCCUCCAACAAUUGCAAUAAAUUACCAUUGCUAAUACUAAGGCUACGAAGACAAUCAGGCACAAUAUAGAACGUAUCAAGUACCUUAUGGGUCAUGAAUCUUUGGCGAAAACGGGUGGCCGAACGCUUGUCCAGGAAGUGUCUUGAUUCAAAAUCAGUUGUUCUAUAGGGCCGCCAUCCUUCCGUGUCCGUUUGGGUGCUGGAAUCGCCUCUUUCCCUUUGUCUUUCGCUCUACAUGGCCUUGAAGUGGGUUCAAUUUCGGUAAACAUUUGCCGAAGUCAAAGGGGUUUACAACCUAGGGUUUUUCGGUUUCGAGGGUUAAAUUUAGCAAGAGCAAAUGGUGGGAUAUGAUUUCUAAGGUUGAAUUUGGGCUAUGAACUGAUUAUAAACGAUGGAUCUUUCGGUUGAGAACGUGGGAAAGAGGAUUCGGCUUUUAGAGAUAGAAGUGGCUGACCGGUUUUGUGAAGGCGAAGAUGAACAGUUUUAUUGCUUUGAACCCGACUAACCUUUACAAAAUAAUAGGGUGGCCGUUCAUGUUCCAGAAACUCUAGUAAGAGAAAAUGGCUAGCCUUUUAUUUUUAGAGGCUAGUCGUUUAAUGUCCAAAGAGCACCAAAAGCAAAAACGGCUAGCCUCUAAAGUUUAAAGGUUAGCCGUUUUCGCUAAUGGUGAGCAUCCAUACACAAACGGCUAGCCUCCACAAAUUUAGAGGCUAGUCGUUUCCCCUCCAGUGAGCCCCAACGCGAAAAAAGCUAGCCUCUUAAAUUUUUUAGGCUAGCCGUUUCCCCUCCAGUGAGCCCCAACACGAAAUAGGCUAGCCUCUUAAAUUUUAGAGGCUAGUCAUUUCCCCUCUAGUGAGCACUCAUAGAGUAACGGCUAGCCUCCACAAUUUUAGAGGCUACACGUUUCCCUUCCAGUGAGCACCCAUACACAAACCGAUGCAAGCACAUACUAUAAUUGGUGGCCUCAUAAUAACUUGUAAGUGAUUUCCCAUGAUAUAUGAAUUUGCUUGGCAAACUUUCUUACGUUGUUUAACUAACUCAGAUUUACAUUAUGCUUAGUUGAGGACGGUACACAUACUUGGAGGAUGGGGGAUGAUUGCUAAUGAUGCACUUUUUGGAUCUGAACCGAGGGGGCAGAACGAACUUUUUGGAAAUCAUUGAGUUAUAUUAUCAUGUAAGAAGUGAACAAUGACAAUGUAAUAAUAUAUUUUGCGUACUUAGUGAUAAUAGCAACAUUUACAACAAUUAUCUUCCUUUCAACAUGUAUUAAUUAAGACAACCGGUUGCCGAAGGAAAAAAUCAUAAUUGCCCCAUUAAUCCCUCUACGCCUUUGGAUCAUCAAAACAAUUUACAUGACUCGUAUGUCAAUCCAGUUACAAGGUAAAUUUAGCAAAAGUUUAGAGUUGUGGAUGAAGUCAGCAAAAAAUUAUCAUAAUCUAUGUUCACAACAAUCUCAGACCUUCUGCCUGAAACGACGUUUUGUGCAACUGUUCUUAUGACCUUUUCUGGUGGACACAUUACGAGCCUUCACUGUUGAUGCAAGCUUCGAUUCAUUUAUGUAUGUUGCAGCGUUACUGUAGUGUGCAUUAGCCAACGUCAAUAAUUGAUCGCGUUGUUCGUUGAACGGAGAGUCUAUAAGUUGUAACGCAAGUUGCACUCGAACAUUCUGUGAGUCAUGCUGCGGAAAUAAUCAUGCACUUUCAUCAUGUCAGUGGCCCAACAACAGUAGUUAAAUAAACCAAGAAACCACAUAAGGCGAAUAAGGGAGCGUACUAUAUACGAUUUGUUAGUGAUGAUUCCAGGAGUAUCCAUAAAUUUGAUGACGUAAACUCCACAAUCAAAACCGUUAGAUUGCCGUGGAACUCCUUCCCCAUGGGUCACUACAAAUGACAAGAAACUCCAAGAUACUGAAUAUGUAGCAUCCACAAUGGCAUGAAGUAUAGCAUCCACCAAGUGUAACUAUUUUCAAGUGCAAAAAUACAUCACAUGUAUUAAUAACACAAUAGCCAGAAAACUAAACUCAUCGUUUUUAUCAAACAUUAGUUGGACUUACAAUACUAUUCACUUGGAUUUCUCGAUCUCGUGUCCGUCGUGCAUCCGGUAGUGGAUCCCAGAUCUCCGCUUGUUUGUCUUUAAUUUUAACCAACAACAUAAAUCAAUGGUGGCCACCAUCAUGCAUGGGAACAAAGAUCUAUGCAAGAACAACUUUGGGUCACUUUUACCAUACAUAAUAUCGAACAUAACGAAAAAUCAUUUUAACAAACACACACGCUACCUGAUGGCACCGGUGCAGGUCAUACAUGUAACGUUUGCGGUAUUAGGAGGCAGCCUUAAAACCAUCUAAAUGUGCAUUUGGCAUUGUAGCAAAUUGCUACAUAUUCAUCAUAUCAAAUUCAUAUAAAACACAACUGAAAUUACCGUAGUUAAUGAUGAGAAAAAGGAUAUGAAAAAAAAAGACAGGAACGGAUUAGCAACUGCAUAUCUUGUUGGUAGGAACCAGCUAAUUGGUUGCCCGUGGCUUUUGCACGACUCACGUCGUGUAAGGUAAUCACUCAUCAUGCAAAAAUCUAAACACAAGAACAAUUAUAAUUGGUUUUAUUAAUUACAAUUUCAUCAUUAAAGUCAAAUUACGAACAAACCUCAUCAUCAAGUGAUGCAUCGGGCAAAAGUGAUAACAAGCCUCGCCAAGUGAUAUCCUCAUGACUUGAUCGCACAAUUAUUUCACAGUAUGUUAAUCACAUGAUAUAUUAACAAAAUCAAAUAACUAUGGCAAUAUAUUAAACGAAAAGAGCUUGAUGAGUGGCCAUGAAGGUAUUGUUACUCUAGGCUAGCACUUUUGUCAAAUCCAUAUUGGAGCAUCUUCAAUUGAUCGAGGGUUACCGGCUCAUUCAAGAAAAAAAGGCCCGCUCAAUAUUUUGGCUUUGGACCGCGUGAGACUUGAUCAUACGGGGACAAUUGGUACCGCCCUGGUUUUCGAUUUCUGUAUGGCCGAGGAGGGCCUAAAGACAGCGGAUUAAAAUCUUGCGGCUGUUGACAUUUCUUCUCUUGUUGCGCGAAAGACUACAAUUUAUUCAAGACAAAGAAAGAAUAAAAAUAUUAGACUAAAUCAUAUAUAGUUUAGACAAAAGUUAACAAAUUAUUACUCUAUGUAUACCUCAUCUUAAAGUUCCGGCACUAAUUUAGGCUUCAUCGCGUCUUGCAAUACUUCUGUCAACUUUUCUUUUAGGACAACCUCUUCAUCAGUGGAUGUAAUGAGGUACAAAGCUUUUCGUUCUUUAACUUCGAUGGGCGUACGCUUUUUCCGUACUAGAUCUGAAAGCGUGACAACUGCAGGGAUAGGUGGGUGCAUCUCCAUAUUCGGAGAGGAAAAGAUUGGAUCAUCAAUUGCCUCGGCACCAGUAUAUGUAGGAGGUGAUUGAUUAUUAUCAACGACAUUUGCUCCUUGACGAAAAUAUGCUCGUUCUAACUUUUCAACCUUUUCAGUAAGAGAAUCCAUUUUCAAGCCCAUUUUUUUAUACUAAAUCAUUAUUUCUUCUCAUAUGUUCCUCCAUUCUAUCCAUUACUGCUAAUAUAGCAUGAAAUGGAUGCUGCCUUGCGGCGUCACCAUCGUCAAUUUGUCCUUCACUUUGAGCACCUGAUGAGCUGCAACUGAUUUCUCACAUCAGAACCUGCAUUAACUACAAAUAUCCAUAAAUAAUCUAUUCAAUUUAAUAACAUAACUACAAAACACUAUACAAUUAUAGAAGGGAACAAACCGCAUUGCUCUCAAAGUCACCAUACUUUUGUCGCCACUUGAGGAAUCUUUUUAUUUCACUAUCAGUCCAUGCACUAAGAGGACAUCCAUUCUCGGCAACAGAAGAAAGCUGAAACUUAGUUGAUGACAUGUAGAACAACUGCAAACAACAAAAAAUUAGUUAAUACGGAAAUAAUAAUCGAUAAUACCAUAAUCGUUUAACUAACGAUAAUACAAAUUAGUAAAUAAAUCAUACCAUUAAAAAUAUAACGCAUCCGCUCAUCGAGGAAAUUUUAUUUUCGUUGAACUUUGAAACUUCUUCCCAUAAAAAAUUGAAAGACCAACUGGCCCAAUUUAUGUCGCAAAUGUUACUCACGUCUUUUAAAGCAUAAAGGUAUGAUGGGUUGAUGUAUGUAGCUAUAGUUGGACACAAAAUAGUUCUAAUCGCAAAUAGACUAAAUAGAAUACAGAAAUCUUCAUCUGCACAACUAUUUGUCUUUAAUUUUUCAUCUAAACUACCUAUUGGGAUGCCUUUCUUUCCUGAGCAAUACUUGGCUCAUAAGUCAGUAAUUUCACUAUCUUCACCACCAAGCACAAUCGGUGUUCCUCCGUCACCAACACCCAUCGCACUUGUAAAAGUUUCCAGAGUAAGCUUGUAUUCCUUUCCAUGGACUGUUAUCGACCGCUUAUCUACGUUACAUUGCUUAACUAACAAUCUACAUAAAUCUUGCCUAAGUCGCCCACAUUUUAAACCUAACAAGCUUCCAAAACUAAUUUCUCUCACAGCAUCUUGCUGUUCAAUAGAUAACGAAGAAACAAUGUUGGAGAACCGCAAAACACUACAUCGACAUAGGUGAUUACCCUUAUCAGAAUUGUUCUCCAUUGUUGGAAUCGGUUCACUUAACAAUCCACUGGCCAAUCUCGAGUUCAUUUCAGCCUUUUCAUUAUAACUGUUGAUGAAUUCGGCUUUAUCUUUCGCGCUAAGUUUCAACCAUUUGUCACGUAUACGCCCCUUAACCUACACUCAAAAAAAAAAAUUCAUUGGCCAAUCAUCAACCAAACUAUUAGUUAGUAGGCUGCAACAUAGAAAAGUUGUCUACAAACCGUUUCAUCCACCUUCACACCUUCCUCUUUUAACUUUUGGGAUUCUAUCUUGCUGUAGAUAGAAAAAUAAUAUCAAAUAUCAGUUUCUUAUAUGUCAAUUAAAAUUAUUGCAGUGUUAAACUGAAAUGACUACAGAAUGUCAAUAAUAAAAUUCAACAAUGAAUUAGUUUCUUACAAGUAGUAUAUGUACGAAUGCUUGCCCAGCCUCGGAGGAUCCAGCUUCUUAGACUGAAUAUUAAUGUCAUCUGCGACAUUGGCCUUACGCUUACCCAUUAUACUGUGUACACUAAAAAUUAUGUCCCCUGUCAAUACACACUGAUAAUUUCAUCAAACUCUCUCCACGAAUUCUAAAUCCAUGUAAAUUAUUACAUUACCCAACAAUACGCACUAAUAAACUUACAUGAUAAAAGCUGUAAUUUUUAAAUAUGAGAGGCCAAUGAUUCUUCUUACCAUAUCAAAUAAAACACUCGAUCAACAAAAAUAAUGAUACCAAACAAAUCCCAUGAUACCCAUGUCUCAUUACCGUAGGUGGACUGCAGAGAUGGCCUAACAACGACUUAGAAUGGGCUGACGGGAAUUGAGUGGGUUGUGAAUCUGUAGCUACAAAUCCUUGCCGCCAAUAGAGAUCAACCUCCGCGUGUCCUCGCCGGAAAGCGCCGUCGUUGGGACUACAGGUGAGAGAGUGCAUGACGAGGGAGAGGGAGAGGGAGAGGGACCCGUGAGGGUGAGUGAAGAGGGAGAGGGAGAGGGAGUCAUGAGCCGUGAGUGAGGAGGGAGGGAAGAAGAAAUUGAUUUCCCGCGUGAGGUGAGAGCCUUUUGUUUGUUUUUUUUCCCAACAAAUAUAUAUGCCUGGGUUUGAUGUGUGUUGAGGGGGUUUGGUGUGUGUUGAGACUGAUUCUAUAGGUUUCAAGUUUUUUAUAUUUUUUUAAUUAUUUAUUGUUUAAAUUCAUUUAUGGCCGUUGGAUUCAUUGUAUUGAAUCCAACGGCCAUAAAACCUGCAUGUAUCUGAUACAUGCAGGUAUUGUAGCAUCAGCCUUGAUAACGAUAACAAAUCAUCAGCCAAUUAAUUAUUUGUGGUGCCCACCUUGUCAUCAACCCAAAAGGUGAAGGUAUUUUCAAUACUGCGUUUUGUUUUCUUUUCCCCUUUUUAUUUUUCUUUCACAACUUGGCAUUGGUCUCGGAGCAUUGCAACAAUUUAAAAUGUAUUAUUUUGAGCUAGUCAGCAUUUGCUCUUGACUUGUGAGAGUAAUCCACCAUUGCGUGUCUGCAGUUAAAAGGACUUUGGUGCUUCUCGAGUAUUACUUUUUAUCUAUUCAAAUCUUGAUAUAUGGGUGAACAUAUUAUCAUAAUUGAUUAAAACAUAUAUAUGAUUACCUAAAUUUUUUUCUAACACGCUGCAAUCUGGUGCUGUGUUGGAAUUGACUGUGCACUAUUAAGAAAAUAGUGGAUUCGAAUUGUAAUCGAUUAGUCAUUUAUGCAAUUAUAGCUGUUUAUAUUUAGGCAUUAAUUAUCUUUAUAUUUUUUUCUGAUAACAACCAAUUAAAACCUCAUAUUUUGCUUGUGAAUCCAAGUUCCACUUAUGAAAGUAACAUCUGUCUCAUUUUUAGUUAUUGAUAAUUAUUAUUACUAUUAUUAUUAUUUUUUAUUAUUAUUAUUGGUAACAAGUUACAACUUAUGUACUCAUGCAAUGUGUGCUAUGGAACAUUUAAGAUAUGUUCGAACAAUGUUGCUACAAGCAAUACAAAUUUUUUUACAAUUUAUUGCUCUGAAUAUUUUCGGUAAAAACUACUUAUUUUAACAACAUGCAAAACACAUUAUCACAACAAUCUGCUUAAUGUGACGGAUGGUUAAGCCAAAUGACUACAUAUAACCCAAGCAUGUUGUUAUAUAUUCAACUUCAGUGACAUUGCAACAAAGUAUAUUGUUGAUAAGGAUGUGAAUAAAAGGUUAUAGCAUGCUUAAGUAUUUAAUAUCAUAUUUGAAUCAUCUUUAACUCCGAAAGCAAGUGAAAUAGUUCUUGAAAUAUUAUAAAAACAUGACAAGCCUGCAAAAAUUCUAUUCCAAAAAUGAAAGACACUUAUCCAAAAUAAGCACAAUUAUCAUCAGAAAAUUCCUAGCGCAAAUCUGUAAUUAUCCAAAAUAAUUGUACUAGCCUCGACCAUGUUGAAUUCUCAGGUCAUCCAGGUGAGAUUUUCCCCUAAGCUCACUGGCAAACUGGCUCCCAUUGAGUAAACUUCCAAGGUGUCUCUACAAGAAAAAAGAAGGUAAAACAUUAUAUAGAAUCAUAGAAGAUUUAAUUUUCACUUUUUGCUUGCAAAUCCAUAUCAAGCACAAACAGAGAAAACCUGAGGGAAGGAGGGAGCUUAGGAAAUAAGUGUGGCUUCCUCUGAUGAACUGGAAGAGUGAUCAUCGAGAAAAUGCCAGCCCCAUCAAGCUUUUGUUCCUCAGAUAAAACAAAGGCUUGUCCAAAUCCUUCUACAUCUCCUGGAUGCUGCCAAUAUUUUUUCUUUUCUUCCAUGCUCAGAUUGAAGAAGCCCUUAACCUUUUUCUUUACUUUCUCUAGAAAUGCUGAGAUUACUCCAUGGUUUACCAGCUGAAAUUAUGCAGGAAUGAAAAGCAGCUAAGAUUUGAUAAUCGUGCCACUAGGUUCACAAUCGUCCAGGCGUUUUAUGAAGACAGAUUGCAACUUAUUUGACUGAUUUAGAGACAAGAUUUGUUGUUACUGAUGGCUAAAAGCAUUUGUUACAUUUCAACUGCAAACAUUGUUGUUGCAUUAAACACCAAUUUUAUUUUGUUUAUAAAUCUAAUCAAUGAUUGGUUUUUACAAGUGUUUUUUACUCAUAGUUUUGGAGAAAUUUGAAUAUUCUAGAACAGCUAAUAAUCUGUGGGAGUCUUAUACAAUUAAUUAUAUCUUUUAUCACAUAUUGACAGAAGCAUAUUUCUCAUAAGCUACCAAAAGCUAUUGAGACAAAAUAGGUGAAAUUUGUCAUGGGCAUCUUUUAAUACAAAUUAUACUAACAAAUCUAUGGCUAUAUGGAAAGCUAAAGUAAUAAAGAAAGUCAAAAACAAAUAUAUCAAUGGAAUCUGGGUUUCAGAAAAUUAAUGGUGAGUGUUUUCUUUUCAUAUUGCCUCAUAAAUUGUACAAUAAAACAAGAGACAACUUCCUUGACAUUUCACAAGCUGCGGUCCUAGAAGCACUGAAAGCAGCAAAAGGACUAGAUGGGAAAUUUUGAAAUCAUGACAUGCUAAAUCAAUGGAAACUGGGUUUCAAAAAUAGAUAUUUUGUGACUGAGAUUUUUGCAGAUUUCAUGAUUUUUAAAUCACAGACAAGCAUGAAAAAUCUUUCUAACUCUGCUAAAGCAUUUUACCUGGAAAAAACCCCAUUCUUUGCAUGCGAAGUCGAGCUUGGCUAACUCAGAAUCCAUUGAUUCUUCAUAAAGCAAGCUCUGCAUGUCAAUAACUGGUAUCUAUGAAAUCAAAGCAUCAUCAGAAUUGAGUGGUGAAUCUUCAUCUGGACGUAUGUAUCUAGGAGGGACAACUAACAUAGGAUUCUUGACCAACUCUUGAACACAAGGAACAAGCAGAGAACCUCCAAUCUUGGCCAUCUUUUGUUCCACAAAUCCUCUUAAGAUUGCUACAGCUUUGUAUUGGUUUUGGAACAAGAGUGCAGGGUGCAGACUGCAGACAAUCGCAAGAGUUAAAAACAAUUAUUUUCUAACAAAUCAGCAUCCUCCACCUAACCGCUCAUGAUAUAUUUUUAUGCAAAUGACUGAUCUGGAUUAUUUUAAGGGGACUGAUAACUCUCGGAAAUGAGAGUUAUUACAUCUAUUCUAGAUGUGAAUAAAGGCCAUUUAGAAAGCAAAUAAUGUGUUUUGAUUACAUUUUGGUGACCUUUUGCAUAAACAUUCAUUUUAGUUGAGUUUUAACAAGUUUUGCUUGAAUCAUAGAAAUUUGUGCUAAAAACAUAUUUUAAUUUGUAGGUUUUAAAUUCAUGAAAGGAUGUGGAGACAUUAGAUGAGAAAGAGGAGGAAAGAAGAUGGCCACAAAAGAAGAAAAGCACAAUCGGAAAUAAUACAGUGCUGUUGCAAAUGUUAGAGCAACCAGUGUUGUAGCAAUCUGGGAGCAAUGCGGGAAAAAAUAUAAGCGCGGGUCAGCAAUUAAAUCACGAUCUGCAUGUUUCCUAAUUUAAACACAUGCACGCCCAUAGACUUUGGUUUUAACCUAAUUUGCAAUAUAUAAAGGAAGCAUGCACCACAUAGAAAGCGGAGAGGAAUUAUCAUCCAAAAACAAUUACAAAGGCAAGAAGAAUAAGAAGAUCAAGAUUAAGGAGUGUUGUUCGGCAUCAUUGAAGAACCGAGGAGGAUCAUUAGUCUUUCAUCGUGCUCAACUCAUAUUAUCUUUCUUCCUUUAAUUGAUUGGAUGUAUUCUGUGAUCAGAAUAUUUAUGUUUACUUUUCUCAUUCAGAAUAUGAACUGAAUUUACUUGUAGUUGAGUGACAAAUAAUCCAAUGGGGUCUUGACUGUUCUUAUAUGUUGUUAUGAUAAUGCUGUAGCAUUAUACUCUAAUAGUUUUUAUGAAUAUAACUGUUAUUUCGGUUGACCACCCAUUUAAUAGUUUCAGUUAAGAUAGAGCAGCAAAAGGGCAUGUCUUAGCGGAUAUUAUUAGAGUAUUACUUGUUCUUAAAUCGAGUUUCCUGGAUUAGAUUAACUUAAAUCCCAUAAAGGGAAUACUUGAAUCAAGAUUUGUGAUAUCAUAGACAUAGGUGUUCACCUUGUAGGGUAGAGAGAUUAAAGAUCAUAAAGCCAUACAUUAAAUUUAUAAGCAACUGGUCAUUGUUAGUAGAUUUAAAGGUAUGAGAUUUUCAACAUGCGAUAGUUGCGGAUGCAGAUUGGUUCUGCCCAGUGCUACAGCACUUAUUAUAACAACUGGUGCUAAUUCGGUAAUCAACGGUCACCCCAUUAGGAGAGUUUGAUCAUUCAACUACUAUAUUCUCAAUUGAACCUUAGACACAUUUAACUUAGUUUAUUUUAUUACGGUAUUGUUUUAUUUCCAUCUCUCGUAAUUAUUAGUUACGAUAGAAUUAUUUGGCAAUUAUUUGUUUCAGUCUUUAGUUGACUUGCAUUAUUGCGAUUGCUUUAGCAUUUUGAGUAAACAUCAAUCCCUGUGGAGACGAUCUUGAACACUCAUCACUUUAUUACUUGUUGUGUAUACUUGCACAUUGGCAUUGAUAAUAAUUGAUUAUAUAAAUCAACCAACAAGUUUUUGGCGCCGUUGCCGAGGAUAGAUUGUUUAUUUUUUAAGUGUAAAGUAAAUCGUGAUAGCACUAAACUAAACUUGAUUCAUUCUAUUGAUUGGCAGAUCAGUACGUGUAUGCUCAAGGACAGAUCUGUGAUAUUUUAAUUCGAUCCUGAGAUUGAAAGGACUAUCAGGAGAUUGUGAAGAGAACAAAGAAAUUCAAAGAUUGUUUCAGACAUGAAUAAUUUGCAAGAUGAGGGAAAUUUGAACCCUUACGGGCCUUUACAACCAGCCAACAUUCAACAAGAGCAUAAUGAACAUGCUAACGGGAGACAGCCAGGCAACAACAAUAUUAUUUACAUGGCUGAUGACAGAGAUAGAGUUAUAAGAGAUUAUGCUGGACUAACUCCUCAAGUUGUCCAUCCUGGCAUCAUCAGACCUGAAGUAGAUGCUGCCAACUUUGAGUUAAAACCAGUGAUGUUUCAAAUGUUGCAAACAGUUGGGCAAUUCAAUGGAUUGCCAAAUGAAGACCCUCAUCUCCAUCUUAAAUUAUUCUUGGAAGUAAGUGAUGCUUUCAAGAUUGCUGGAGCAACGCAAGAUGCCUUAAGGCUGAGGCUCUUUCCUUAUUCCUUAAGAGAUCGAGCAAGAGCAUGGUUAAAUUCAUUACCAUCUUAUUCCAUCACUACAUGAAAUGAACUGGCUGAUAAAUUCCUAAUGAAAUAUUUUCCACCGAAAAAAAUGCAAAAUUACGAAAUGAGAUUACCUCCUUCCAUCAACUAGAAGAUGAGAGUUUGUAUGAGGCUUGGGAAAGGUUCAAGGACUUGCUCAGAAGGUGUCCUCAUUAUAGUAUUCCUUGUUGCAUUCAAUUGGAAACUUUCUAUAAUAGGUUGAAUCCAAGUACAAGGUUAAUGGUGGAUGCUUCAGCAAAUGGAGCUCUAUUAUCCAAAUCCUACACUGAAGCUUAUGAAAUUUUGGAAAGAAUUGCCAAUAAUAAUUACCAGUGGCCUUCAGCUAGGCAACCAGUAGCAAGAGGAUCAGCAGGGGUACAUAGCAUUUAUGCAAUUACAGCCUUAUCAGCUCAGUAACUUCAUUGACUAACAUGGUAAAAGCCAUGACAGCUGCUCCAGCAACAGUAAAGCAAGUUACUGAACUUUCUUGUGUCUACUGUGGUAAAUAACAUGAUUUUGAUAAUUGUCCUGGAAAUCCAUCCUCAGUAAAUUAUGUGGGUAACUUCAAUCGACAACCUCAGAACAACCCAUAUUCAAAUACUUACAACCCAGGCUGGAAGCAACACCCAAAUUUCUCAUGGAGUAAUCAGAAUCGAAAUGCUCCAGCAUUGAAUGGACUAAGUAGAAACACACAACCACAACCACCUGGUUUUCAUCAACAAAGUCAAGGGCAAAAACAUAUCAGUCAGGAUCCAAUCACUUCAUUGGAAGUGUUAAUCAAGGAGUACAUUGCAAAGAAUAAAGCAAUUGUGCAGAGUCAAGCUGUGUCCUUUAGAAAUCUUGAGAACCAAAUGGGACAAUUAGCUACAGCAAUGAGCAGUAGAACUCAAGGAAGCUUACCAAGCAACACAGAAGAUCCUAGGAGAAAGAGCAAAGAACACUGCAAAGUGAUUAGUCUGAGAUCUGGAAAGCAUGUUGAUAUCCCAGUUGAGGUGACCAAAAAUGGGAUGGAAUACAAUUCAGCUCAAAAACCAAUUCAAAAGGGAAGCAUGUUACAGCAGACUCCCCAUCAAGACACUGAUGCAAGGGACCCAGUUACAGUAACUGCAAAAGAAAUUCAACCAGAUCUUGCUGAAAAAAAAAGUUACAACACCAGUAGCCACAACCUGUACCAACUUAAACAAACAGAGUUUAGUACCUCCUGAAUCUAACCAGCAGUUUAGACAUCCACCACCCUUCCCUCAAAGCUUCCAGAAGCAAAAACAAGACAAGCAGUUCAGCAAAUUCCUAGAAGUGCUGAAGCAACUGCACAUAAACAUACCUUUUGUGGAAGUUUUGGAGCAAAUACCAAAUUAUGUGAAAUUUCUAAAAGAUAUCUUGGCACGAAAAAGAAGGCUGAGAGAGUUUGAAAUUGUUGCUCUAACACAAGAAAGCAGUCAUAUGCUUCAGAGUAAAAUUCUCACAAAAUUGAAAGAUCCAGUGAGUUUUACAAUACCCUACUCAAUAGGGAAUAGGUAUGCUGGCAGAGCACUCUGUGAUUUGGGAGCUAGUAUUAACUUGAUGUCAUUAUCUGUAUUUAAGCAGCUUGGAGUAGGGGAGUGCAGACCAACAAUUGUCACUCUGCAAUUAGCUCACAGAUUUCAUGCAUAUCCUGAAGGAAAGAUAGAGGAUGUACUGGUGAAGGUUGACAAAUUCAUUUUUCCAGUAGAUUUCAUUGUGCUGGACUUUGAAGCUGACAAAGAGGUACCCAUUAUACUUGGCAGACCUUUUCUAGCAAUUGGAAAGACUCUGAUAGAUGUGCAGAAAUGAGAGCUGACCAUAAGAGUGAAUGAUCAGCAAGUCACAUUUAAUGUACUAGAGGCUAUGAGAAACCCUGAUGAAAUAGAAGAGUGCAAUUUCCUAAGUGUAGUGGAUCUUGUUGUAGCAGAUAGAAUGGACAGAUGCUGCAGUAAUGUACUUAACAAAGUCACCACCUUUGAGGAGAUUGAAGAGGAAGAUGUUGCAGAAAUUCAAACAGAUUGCAUAGAAAAACAGCAAUCUAAUAGGCACAACAGGGUUAUUGAACACCUGAAUCUUUCAGACAGGGAAGUAAAAACAACUUUACCAUCUAUUGAAUCACCUCCUAGUUUUGAAUUAAAACUGUUACCUUCACAUUUAAAGUAUACUUAUCUUGGUCAAAACAACACACUCCCUGUAAUCAUUUCUUCUACUUUGGAUGCAAGUCAAGAACAAAGCCUAGUAGACUUGCUGGGAAAAUACAUAAGGGCAAUUGGCUAGACCAUGGCAGAUAUAAAGGGUAUCAGCCCAUCAAUCUGUAUGCAUAAGAUCCUGUUAGAAGACUAUUCCAGCAAUUCGGUGGAGCACCAGAGAAGGCUGAAUCCUAUUAUGAAAGAAGUGGUGAAGAAUGAAAUCAUCAAAUGGUUAGAUGUUGGAAUCAUAUACCCAAUAUCAGACAGUUCAUGGGUAAGCCUAGUUCAGUGUUUUCCAAAGAAAUGAGGGAUAACAGUAAUGGCUAAUGAGAAGAAUGAACUUAUUCCUACAAGGACAGUGACUGGAUGGAGAGUGUGUAUGGAUUAUAAGAAGCUCAACAAAGCCACAAUAAAAUACCAUUUCCCACUUCCAUUUAUAGAUCAGAUACUGGACAGACUUGCUGGAAAGCAAUACUACUGUUUCUUAGAUAGGUAUUCAGGCUACAACCAGAUUGUUAUAGCACCAGAGGAUCAAGAGAAGACUACAUUUACUUGUCCUUAUGGAACAUUUGCCUUCAGAAAAAUGCCAUUUGGGCUAUGCAAUGCUCCAAUAACUUUUCACAGAUGCAUGAUGUCUAUAUUUUCUGAUAUGGUAGAGCAGACUUUGGAAAUUUUCAUGGAUGAUUUCUCAGUUUUUGAAGAAACAUAUAGUAAUUGUUUACACAACUUGGAAGAAGUUCUUAAAAGAUGUGAGAUGACCAACCUAGUACUCAAUUAAGAGAAGUGUCAUUUCAUGGUGCAAGGAAUAGUGCUGGGUCACAAGAAUAUCCAAUGAUAGUAUUGAGGUAGAUAAAGCCAAGAUAGAGGUAAUAGAUAAACUGCCACCCCCAACUUCAGUAAAGGGUAUUAGGAGUUUUCUGGGUCAUGCUGGAUUCUACAGAAGAUUCAUUAAGGAUUUUUCCAAAGUAGCCAAGCCUCUAUGUUCAUUGCUGGAGCAUGACAAACCAUUUCACUUUGACAAAGAAUGCCUUCAAGCAUUUGGCGAAUUAAAGAAAAUCCUUAUCACUGCUCCAGUAGUUAUAUCUCCAUAUUGGAAUUUACCAUUUGAAUUGAUGUGUGAUGAUAGUGAUCAUUCUGUGGGAGUAGUAUUAGGGCAAAGAAAUGAUAAGGUUUUUCAUUCCAUAUACUAUGCAAGCAAAACUUUCACUCCAACUCAGAUCAAUUACACCACUACAGAGAAAGAAUUGCUAACAAUAGUUUUUACUUUUGACAAAUUCAGAGCUUACCUGGUAGGUACUAAAGUAACUGUUUGCACAGACCAUGCAACCAUCAAAUAUUUAAUUUCAAAGAAGGAUGCCAAACCAAGACAAAUCAAAUGGAUCUUAUUGCUUCAAGAAUUUGAUCUGGAAAUUAAAGAUAGAAAAGGGGCUAAGAAUCAAGUGGCAGACCACUUGUCACGGUUGGAAGCAGACACUAGUACAUUGACAAGGAAGGGCAUCACUAAAACUUUUCCUCAUGAACAGCUGUUGGUAAUACAGCAAGCACAAAUACUGCAGCAGUCAGCAUCUCCAUGGUAUGCAGACUUUGCUAACUAUCUAGUAAGUGGGUUACUACCACCUGAGCUGAAGUUUCAAGAGAAAAAAAAAAUUUCUUCAUGAUGUUAGAAGCUACCAGUGGGAUGGCCCACAUUUAUAUAAGCUAUGCUCAUAUCAAGUAAUAAGAAAAUGUGUUGCAGCAGAAGAAAUACCUCAUAUACUGGAAUCAUGUCAUGCUGCAGCAUAUGGAAGACAUUUUGGUGGUCACAGAACAGCUGUCAAAGUUAUGCAAUCAAGUUAUUAUUGGCCCACUAUUUUUAAAGAUGCUUAUGAAUUUGUUAAAUGUUGUGACAGGUGUCAAAGGACAGGGAACAUAACUAGCAAACAUGAGAUGCCAUUGACCAACAUACUGGAAGUGGAAGUUUUUGAAGUUUGAGGAAUAGAUUUCAUAGGACCUUUUCCCCCAUCCUUUGGAAACUUAUAUAUCCUUGUUGCUGUAGAUUACUUCCACCCACUUGGAGACAUAAUCUACAACAUUACCUACCAAUGAUGCUAAACUGUGGUGACCUUUCUUCAAAAAAAUGGUUUCUCCAGGUUUGGCACUCCUAGAGCAAUAAUUAGUGAUGAAGGUGCACAUUUUUGCAACAAAAUCUUUGCUGCAGCAAUGAUGAAAUAUGGAGUCCGACACAAGAUAGCAACAGUAUAUCACCCACAAGCCAAUGGUCAGGCUGAAGUGUCCAACAGAGAAAUUAAAAAUAUCUUAGAAAAAGUGGUGAACCUAGGGAUGGCAAUUGUACCCGCAAACCCGCAAACCCGCCCAAACCCACCCGCCAAAACCCGCCCGUUGCGGGUAAUUUUAUCCGUUGCGGGCGGGUUUAGUAUUAUAAAUUAAAACCCGCAUAUGGAUGCGGGUGGGUUUGGUAUUAACCUUAUACCCGGUGGAUACCCGCAUGGAUAUCCACCAAACCCGCAAUAAUUUUUUUCAAAUAUUUUUAAUUUAAUUUAAAUAUAAAAAUAUAUAAAGAAAAUAAUGUAAUUAAUCAAAUUACCAAAUAGCAAAAGGCUCAAAGUUGUGUAUGUGUGUAUAUGGCUCAUCUCUUAUUCUAAAGUCAUAACCUAAAGAAAACUAAAGGCAUUUCCCUUCGAAUUAGUAUUUGAAAAUAUUAAUCUUAAUUAUUAUUUUAGGCAUUGUGUUAGAUGGGUGCUUAUGGUGGUGAAUAAAAUAAAUAUAUUCUCUUUGAUCUUGUUUUAAAUGAUAAUAUGAAAUGUAAUUAUUAUUUUUAGAUAUUAGUUUGUGUUUUUUAAAUAGAUUUGUAUAAUUUAUACUUAAAUUUGAGAAUUUGUAUUGAAUUGAUGUGGAAAUUUUAAUUUUUUAUUUACAUUGUUUAAAUAUAAAAUUGAAUAUGUUAUAUGGAACUUGAGGUUAUUAUUAUAAAUUUAUAUAUUAAAUAUUUGUGAUUUUAAAUACGGAAACCCGCAAAAAAUCUGCCGGAUACCAUUGCGGGUUUGGUAAUUGUUAAAACCCGCUGCGGGUGGGUUUUUUUAAAAAAAUUAAAACCCGCUGCGGGUUGCGGGUGGGUUUGGUAAUUUAAAUUUUGUGCGGGUUUGGGUUUGGUAAUGGCAAACCCGCUGCGGGCGGUGCCCAUUGCCAUCCCUAGGUGAACCCAACAAGGAAUGAUUGGUCUUUACAUUUGCAUGACUCUUUAUGGGCCUAUAGAACAGCAUACAAAACCCCACUCGGCAUGUCUCCUUACCGAAUUGUUUAUGGCAAGGCUUGUCAUUUGCCCCUAGAGCUAGAGCAUAAAGCACACUGGGUACUGAAGAAACUAAAUUGGGACAUUCAUGCUGCAGCAGAACAAAUGAAGCUUCAACUUUGUGAGCUUGAUGAAUUAAGGCUAUUUUCACAUGAAAAUGCAAGAAUUUAUAAAGAGAGAACAAAACACUGGCGUGACAAGCAUAUUCAACACAGGAAGUUCACCCCUGGUCAAUUAGUGUUGCUCCACAAUACAAGACUAAGAUUGUUUCCGGGAAAGCUCAAGUCACGAUGGUCUGGCCCGUUUAAGCUGUUAAAAUCCUACCCUCAUAGAGCUGUUGAUCUUUUAGAUGAACAAACAGGCCACGAAUUCAAGGUUAAUGGGCACAAGGUUAAGCAUUACAUACAUCCAUAUAUCUUUAAUCAUACAAGUAGAUAUAUCAUGUGACCAUGAACAUAUCCAAAAACUCAUUUGGUGAGUCAAAAACAUAUCUCGAUUCCUAACUCAGGCAAGAGAUGUCUCAAUUGCAAUCGUAUGCAAGAGAAUUUAAAAAUAUGUUCAUUGUAUCCUAGAUUUAAUUUAUUUUAAUACUCAAGCAUACUAAAUCUCAUUAGUAUGCUAAAAUUGCACAAUCUCUUUAUGUAUUCAUAAUUGUAAUAUCCCAAAGAUAUUAUACAAUUGGUCAACCAGUGAAUCAAAUAAAAAAAAAAUAAAUCUUCUUAUCACACUCAUGCUCAUCAAUUCAGAAUAGUCGCUUUCCUAGUCAUGUUUCAUAGACCGAAUAAUGUCAAGGUCAUAGAUAACAUACUAAAGUAGCAGACACCACUAUGAGAUCUCAAAAACAUAGUUGAUAGUCAUAAGGAUACUGGGAUUGACUUUUUACACAAUGAGAAAGAUGAAAGAUUCUUUUAUUUUCCAUUUUGGUUACCAAGCACACGUGGUAUGGUGCACGUGUUACAGUAAAUCUUCCAUUUUAGGACUAUGGAUCUUAGUCCAGUCACUCUUUUAGAAUGAAUGCUCUCCUCUAGCGUAAAAAGUAAGAUCUCACAUCUGACUUCAAUCAAGUCUCCAUGAUGGUGGGGUAUAUCAUAGUCAGUCUAUAAUAAAAAUCGUGUGAGACCUCUUGAUUCUAGUCAAGGCGACAAAACUUGUAGAAUAACGCUUUUUAUUUGGCUCUCAAACAAAAACAUUAUUUUAUUAUUCUACUUGUCUCAUCUCAGCUUGCUCUUAAAGCAAUUGAGGUGACUACUUGUGUAAGAAAACUAGUCUGGACUUGACGACAUACUCUUAUAUAUGUGUAAUUAUGUCUUUCAUGGAAUAAAUUGAAAUAAGAGAUACUAUUACAUUUUCAAACAACUUAUGCAAUGAAAAUGUUUAUAACAAAUAAGUACAUCUUAAUAAUAGUAAUUUAUAAUCUACGCAGCCCCAAUGAUUUAGCAUAAGAGGCAAAUACAUCCCUUAUUACAGCUUUGGUAAGUGGAUCAGCUAUCAUGCUAUGUGUAGAUAUAUAUUGUAUGGCUACUUCUUUCUUUGCCAAAAUAUCUCUUACAAAAUUGUAUUUAGUCUCAAUGUGUUUCGAUUUGGUAUAGUAUUUAGCAUUAUUAGAGAAAAAGAUAGUAGCUUGAUUGUCACAAUAGAUAGUCACUAGAUUAUCAUUGCUAAUAUUAAUCUCUAAGUCCUCUAUAAAUCUCUUAAGUCACAUAACUUCUUGCACUGCUGCAGAACAUGCAAUAUAUUCGGCUUCCAUCGUUGAUUAAGUCAUGCAUGUUUGUUUCUUGCUACUCCAUGUAAUUGUUCCUCUGUUUAGCAAGAAUACAUAUCUUGAAGCCGAUUUGUGCUAAUCCAGAUCACCACCCUAGUCGGCGUCUGAAUAUCCAACAAGCCGCAAACCACCUCCUUGAUAGCAUAAACAAUAAUUUGCAGUGCAUUUGAGAUAUGUUAAAAUCCUUUUAACAGCACUCCAAUGCUUCUAACUAGGAUUAGACUGGUAUCUACUUACUAGUCCUAUAACAUAACUAAUAUCAAGCCUUGUACACAUUAUGACACACUUAAGACUUCCAAUGGCAUUUGCCUAAGGAACUCUAAUUAUUCUUUCCUUUUCUUGAGGAGUCUUAGGGCACAUAUCGAGACUAAGAGAUUGUCCUUUAGCUAUAAGGGUAUCCUUGUGCUUACAAUCAGCCACAUUGAAUCUUUCAAUGAUCUUCUUAAUGUAAGACUCUUGUGACAGAGCCAUAAAUUUUCUUGAACGAUCCUUAAAAAUUUUGACCCCUAAGAUAUAUGUUGCUUCGCCGAUAUCUUUCUUGUCAAAAUUUGAAUGUAACCAAUCUUUAAUAAUUUUGACAAACUCUUUACUAUUUGCUACCAAUAAUAUAUCGUCCACAUACAAAGUAAAUAUCGCAAAAGCGUCUUUAUAUCUCUUAAUGUACACACAAUGGUCUUCCUUAACCAUCCUAAAGCUAUAAGAAACUACAGCUUGAUAGAAUUUAAGGUUCUAUUACAGGUGGGCAUAUUUUAACUGAACAUAUCCAAACCGACCAUUUGGAUCGGUUUCAUUAGUAAAAAAACUAGUUUCGGUUUAUUGGAUUGCAAACCGAUAUCACUCAAUUUGGAUUUCAGCAAACCUAUCCAAUCCAUAAAAUUUUAAAAGCUUUAAGACAUAUGAUGUGUCAAUUUAUUAUUGGAUUAUUAACAGAAGAAAUGUACACUUUCAUACACAAUAGCAUACUUCUUAUUAUAAAAACAAAAACACAAAAACCUAACAGCUGCCUCCACCUCAAGUGCCUCCUAUCAUUCUCAACUCUUUCAAUCUCAAUCGCUCAUUCUCAAGUCUCAUAGUCAUAAUUUUAAAAAUCAAAACAUAAGGGUAUGUUUUGAUUUUAUUUUUCUUGCUACAAUUUUAUUUUAUUUUAGUCAAAAGUUAAAAUGGAUUUUGGUAUAAUUGAUGAUAAUUUAUUUGAUUAAUUGAUUCCAUAACUAAUUUUUUUUAAUCUUCAUGAAUUAUAGAAGUUCUCAACAUGGAAGAUAAUUCCAAUGUGAAUAAUAUCAUAGAAGAUGGAGAAACAUUGAUGGAUGAUUUUCUAGAACCUAAAAGUAAGAAAUCUAAAAUAAGGGGUGGUCAUCUUCAUGACAAUGAAAGGGGUUCAAAAGUUUGGCCUCAUUAUAUCAAAGAUUAAGUGAAUAGGACAUGUAAGUGCAAAUAUUGUGGGAAGUAGUAUAAGUGUGAUAGUAAGUUUAAUGAGACUUUUAAUUUGUGGACUCACUUAAGAGAACAAUGUGAAAAAUAUUGGGCUACUUUAGAUGAUGUGACUCAAGUUAAACUAGAUCGCUUCCGUGAUAAGAAAAAAAAGUCUAAUAUGGCAAGUGGUAGUGGCAUUGGGAAUAUUGUGUAUGGUAUUGGGUUGGGGCUUGCUGGAAAGUUUGGUCAGGAGGAUUGUAGGAAGAAUAUGGGUAUGUAUUUUAUUCUUAAUGAGGGUUCAUUUAGGAAGGUAGAGUCUUAUGGAUUUCAUCUUUUGUGCGACAAACAUUGUCCUACAUUUGGCCCUCCUUCUAGGGGAACACUUGUAAGAGAUAUAGAUCAAUUGUAUUUAGUUGAGAAGGCAGCAUUCAAAAAUAUUUUUAUUGCAAAUAAGUAUAGAGUUUCUAUUACCGCAGACAUUUGGACUUCCAUACAAAAUUUUAAUUAUAUGUUAUGACAACCCAUUGGGUUGAUCAUAAUUGGAAAUUGCAUAAGAGAAUUUUGAAUUUUUUUUCCAAAUAACAAGCCACAAAGGGGACUUAAUCGGCAACCUUAUUGAAAAAUGCUUGCUUGAUUGGGGUAUAGAAAAAGUGAUGACUAUUAUAGUUGAUAAUGCGAGUGCUAAUGAUGUUGCUAUCAAUUAUUUGAAAACAAAGUUGAAAAAUUAGAAGGGUGAUGCAAUGAUUUUAGAUGGAGAUUAUUUACAUUUGUGGUGUUGUGCCCAUAUUUUUAAUAUAAUUGUGACUGAAGGGCUGAAAGAGAUGCAUGACUCAAUUACUAGCAUUCGCAAUGCAAUUAUGUAUGUGAGGUCUUCAGGUUUGAGGUUGCAUGUUGUAGGUUUUCUAAUGCUAUUGAUGUCAAUGUGCAAGUGUACACAAUAAGUAAUACAAUGAUGAGUACUCAAGAUUGUCUCAAUAGGUUGUUAUAGGAAUUGCUACAGUAAUUUUAUCAGUGCAAUUUUUAUUCUAAACAAGAAUUAAAAUAAAUUAUUAAACUAAUGAAAUAAUAAAAAUAAAAACGCAAUAAGAAAAAUGCAAUAAAGUAAAAUACCAUAGUAAAUACAAGAAUGUUACCAAGGGGAAUAGAGUACUUGAGCGAUUAAACUCACUUAAUGGUUAUGACUAUUUUUCUAAUGUUGGCUCGAUUGCUAUAGCAUUUGCUACAGCACUGGGCAGAAUCCUUAUGUAUCCUCAGCUGUCGCAAGUUGAAUGUCUUAUAUCUAAAUGCAACUUAACAAUGACCAAUUGUUAUGCUAACAUCAGAUAUAGCAUUAAACAUUUUAGAUUUUAAUUACCCUACAAGGUGAAUCCCUAUAUCUAGUUCAUCACUAAUUUUAUAUUAAGCAUGACCCAUUUCAAAUCAAGUUAAACCUAACUCAGGAAACCCAAUCUAAAACCAAGUAUUGCUUUGAUAUGUUCCACUAAGACAAGCCUUUUUUAGGCUCUUUCUUAACGAGUAUCACUAAAUGGGUGGUCAACCAAAAUAGUAAAUUGAAAUAAGUAUUAUCAAAACAACGUGCUAUAGCAAACAUGCAACAACACAUAAUAUUAGUCAAUUAACCAUCAAGUUUGUUCAUUACUCAACCACAAGUAAAUUUAGUUAAUAAUUUGUGAUAAAACAAGAAGUAAAAUAGUUUCAGCCAUCAAACAAUUCAUCAUAACGAGAUAGAAACAAGAGAACAAAAAAUAAGAGUGCGAUCCGCUUGAUGUUCUUCUCAAAUUCCUUAGUUACAGCCCCCAAUUCUCUCUCUUGAUCUUUGUUUUUUCUUGUGUUGUUUAUCUAUUUUUCUUCUCCAAUGACAGCUCCCUUUUCUUUGCGUGUGUGCUCUUUUUAUAGUUUAGAAUUAGGGCAACUGGAAGCCUAGGGCAUUCAGCUUCUAAUUUAGGAAACUCCAAACCGCAAACUUCAAAGUAUCUCGCGCGAAAUCUUCUCUGUCAAUGCUCUAUAAUUGCUAUAGCAACGAUGCUACAACAACAGUGCUACAGCAAUGGCUUCAGCAUCUGCACUAUUCCAGACUUGUUUCAAUUCUUCUCUAAUUAAGUUCUUUCCUUAUCUUUACAAGUCUAUUGCAGCCGCAUUCCUUACUUGAAAUUUAAACUUCUGGUCACCUACAAUUAUGCAUAUGAUUUAAGCACACAAUUUAUUCUGAAUCAAACAAAACUUAUUAAAAGUAAACUAAGAUGGAUGUUUAUGCAAAACAUUACUAAAAUGCAAUAAAAACAUAUCAUUUACUGUCUAAGUAAUCAUGAUUUAAGUCUCAAAGUGCCAUGAUAACUCUCAUUUCAUAGAGUUAUCAUUAUAAAUUUAAAUCAUGUGUUGAGAGAGAGAAAAUUGAAUAUAAAGGAAUUCUACCUACACUAUGUUGUCCAGAGCUAUACACUUUCAAAAAGCUUUUGAAA